rnacentral:lncRNA from 1 species
GGUAAGAGUAUUGAAUUUGGAUUAGUUUCUGUUUUCAAAAUUUCUGGUAUACUAUUUGAAAAUGUAAACUUUAUUCCGCAUCCAAAUGAGAUUUAGAUGUCAUAAUGUGCUACCUGUUUGUUCGAUAUAAGUCUCAUACCAACUGUGAUUUUAUGCAGACUGCAUGUUUUUCAUAUCCAACAUGCAUUCAAAUUCUUAUUAGUUAAUUUGUAUGAGGUCGCGGACGAUAUUUGUUUACUUUUUUGGUUUAAUAAGAACGGUUAUAUUUAUUUUCAGUCAAAAGUACAACAUGGAUUUUUUUUUCUUGAUUAUUCCUGCUUUAUUGUUUUUGUUGAAUUUAGUCCACUCUCAGCAGGUUAAAAUAUGUGAGGAUGUGAAGAACGUCCCACAUCGGAAAGUUAAGAAACCUUGCAUGGGCUUACAAGGAAUUGGGAUACUCCACCCAUUGCCAAUUGUUUUCGGGUGGAACCUCAACUUCCUUUUUGGUAUCAAAGCCAAGUUUUUUUCCGCUUGUGAUGCUCAACUGCCGCAUGUGCUUCAUCUCACCUAAUUAAAUUUGAUGUGUUAGGCUAGAAAUUUCUCCACACAUGAGGGGGCGUGUGAGGAUGUGAAGGCACAUCGGAAAGCUAAGAAGCCUUGGGCAGCUUAGGAGUUGGCCUGCUAACCCCUCCCCACCACACACACACACACACAAAACUGGGCCACAUUACUGAAUGUGUAAACCAAAGUUCACUUGUAACAUUACUAGUUACCUUGCUUGAACAACCAAGUUAUUAAAACAUAAAGGAAACAUGGAGAAACUUAUGUUUAGUAAUGAUCAAUUACUAAUUCAUGUUUUCUAUUAAACUCAUAACCCAAUAUUAGUUGGAUUUUUUAAAUUUUUUUGAGGUAAAAUAUUAGUUGGAAUUAAGUGUACGCAAAAAAUUGAUAUAGAGAUUGAUUUUGUGAACUACGCAAGUGUAUGAUGUUAGAUAUUGUUUAUUUUUGUUGUGCUUUUCUUGAAGUUUUUCCAGAAACACAAUUCACACCUUUUCAGCUACCAUAUGUUUUCUUGUCUAGUUGAAGUCUGCUGACUCCAUAAUUGUUGUUGCUCGUUCAGAGUUCGAUUCCACUAUGGUCACCCAGAUGUAUUUGAUCGACUGUUUCAUCUGACUAGAGGAGGUGUCAGCAAAGCUUCCCAAGUCAUCAACUUAAGCGAGGACAUAUUUGCAGGCAUUCUUAUUGCUUUGUUCAAGACUCCCCCGCCCCCAAGAAUGACAGUAAACCAAUUUAACAUAUUUGCUAUCUGCAGGUUUCAAUUCUACAUUACGCGAAGGUAGUGUCACUCAUCAUGAAUAUAUACAAGUAGGUAAGGGACGAGAUGUUGGCCUCAACCAGAUCUCAAUUUUUGAGGCAAAAAUAGCUAAUGGGAAUGGCGAACAGACACUGAGUCGUGACAUCUAUAGGCUUGGACAUCGAUUUGAUUUCUUUAGAAUGUUAUCCUGCUAUGUCACCACAAUUGGUUUCUAUUUCAGCACUUUAGUACGUACAUGUCUACCUCUUUCUUCAAUUAAUAAUGUAAUCUCCCUUUCCCGUUAUCUCAAAUGUUUUAUUUCUGGUUUGACAGUUGACUGUGCUUACGGUCUAUGUGUUUCUCUACGGUCGCCUUUAUCUUGUUGUCAGCGGACUUGAAAAAGGGCUGAGCACUCAGCGAGGCAUUCGAAACAAUAAGCCUCUUCAAGUAGCUCUUGCUUCUCAGUCUGUUGUGCAAAUUGGAUUUUUGAUGGCCUUGCCUAUGGUUAUGGAAAUUGGUUUGGAAAAGGGGUUCCGCACUGCACUUAGCGAUUUUGUAUUGAUGCAAUUACAAUUGGCCCCGGUGUUUUUCACAUUUUCUCUUGGUACAAAGACCCACUAUUAUGGAAAGACUUUGCUUCAUGGAGGUGCAGAAUACAGAGGAACGGGUCGUAGCUUUGUAGUGUUCCAUGCCAAAUUUGCUGAUAACUAUAGACUCUACUCUAGAAGUCACUUUGUCAAGGGCAUUGAGUUACUGAUUCUGCUUGUUGUGUACCACCUAUUUGGUCGUUCAUAUAAAAGUGGAGUUGUAUAUAUCCUCAUUACAAUACAGAUAUGGUUCAUGGUUGGAACAUGGCUUUUUGCUCCUUUCCUCUUCAAUCCAUCUGGGUUUGAGUGGCAAAAGAUCGUCGAUGACUGGACAGAUUGGAAAAAGUGGAUAAACAAUCAUGGAGGGAUCGGUGUAUCACCUGAAAAAAGUUGGGAAUCCUGGUGGGAAAAAGAACAUGAGCAUCUUCUUUACUCUGGGGUGCGUGGUAUCGUUGCUGAGAUAUUAUUAGCAUUGCGCUUUUUCAUUUACCAGUAUGGGCUUGUUUAUCACCUUAACAUCACAAACAACAAAAGUUUCCUGGUAUAUCAUUUCUUGACCUUUAUAUAUGCAUUCCCAAUAACUGUUUUAUUCAUAAUACGGGUGUAUUAAUUUACUUUUCACUGCACGUGCAGGUAUAUGGUGUUUCGUGGCUUGUUAUCAUUUUGAUUUUGUGUCUGAUGAAGGUGUGUAGUAAAAUUUCUGGACUCCUAACAUAUAUCUCGAAGCGAAGCUGUAUUUCCUUGUUUAUAGAUUUAUAUUUAUUGCAGCAUUAUAUGAUGUCAGUCAUGAGUUGUUUUAGGGGUAGAACUUACCAUAUAGAGAAGCUUUCUUCUUUAUUGCACUGAGAAGAAACUGAGGCUUUUUGCAUUUGCUUUGGGUUUGAAAAUUCAAAAUCUGUCUUUUGAGAAGUUAAGGAAAUAUUUCUGUCAAUACCAACAGCAAAAUGGUUCACAUGUUUGCUUCCGUGUACUUUCAGAGAAAAAGUUCAGCUGACUUUUUUUGUACUUUCAAAUACAGCAUUAAACAACAGAACUUUUUUUAACAGAGUUCGUGGAUUGGAGCAUGAAGUUUUGCUGGAAAAUUAUUUCUUCUGCCUACCAGUGCACGUACUUUAGAGAUUUUUAUGCAUGAAAAAUUUAGACAACCGCUUAUUUAAAUAAAGAUUCUUGGUGUUAACGUACUGUUCGUAGAAGCCAAAUGCUUAUACAGGGAUUAUGAGUCAAUAUAGUGGUGUACGUUAUGUUAAAAUGUGCAUAUUUGCAUGCAAGGAAAAAUAUGCUUGGGUUUUACCAACUGUUUUGUUUGGGCAGACUGAUAACGAAAAGUAAAUAUGUUUGCCUCUUGGAUUUUAUUUUCAGGCUGUGUCUGCUGGAAGGCGACGAUUAAGUGCAGAUUAUCAGCUUUUGUUUCGACUGGUUAAGGGAUUUAUAUUUAUUACAUUUUUAGCUAUAUUCGUUACCUUGAUAGUGCUCCCUCAUAUGACGCUUCGGGAUGUCGUAGUGUGCAUUCUUGCCUUCAUGCCAACUGGUUGGGGAUUGCUUUUGGUCAGUAAAUUGUUUUUAUCAGUUUCUGUCUACUCUUUUGCAAAUUUAUUCUUUCCUGUUUUCUUUAAAUAAUUCCAUAUUUUGUGGUUUUGUUUUUACAGAUUGCGCAAGCUUGUAAGCCGGUAAUUAAACGAGCAGGGUUUUGGGGAUCAGUUGAAACACUUGCUCGUGGUUAUGAAAUAAUCAUGGGGUUGCUUCUUUUUACCCCGGUUGCAUUCUUGGCUUGGUUUCCGUUUGUUUCCGAAUUCCAGACGCGAAUGCUUUUCAACCAAGCAUUCAGUAGAGGUUUACAGAUCUCGCGUAUUCUUGGAGGACAAAGGAAGGGCCCUCACUCCUCCAACAAUAAUGAAUAGUCGAUCCUGAUUCCCAAGGGAUGGCCUUAUUUAUCUCUCAAUGUAAAUAGCACCAUUGCUUGCUCAAAUGGAUGGCUCUCUUUAUAAUUUUGUUUUCUUGGAAACAUUAGAAUAUAUGUAAUUGAAAAACACAGGUAAAUGUAUAUUAUUAAGGUUUGAAGCUUGACAAUGUUUAUUUGUAAUAGAAAAAGAAAUCAUUUGAUAAAAUAUUUAGAGCUUUAGGUUAAGGGUUUUAGAAGGUAAUGGCGAUGGAGUUGAAUCUUUAGUCAGAGAGUAAUCUGAAAGCUUUCAGCUAUUUCGACAAAAAAUGGACGUUGAGGAUGAAUUUGUUGUGCGGAGCAAAAGAAUAGGGACGACGUUGAUUGAAUUCGCAAAAAAGAAACCUAAUACUCGAGAGGAAAUUGAUGCAGGUCACAGGGCUGGCAUCAAUUUUUCAAAGGCGACUUCACACAGUAACAACAGUUACCAUUUUUCGCAUUUCAAAAUACGUAAUCAGAUGCAACAAUGCAAGAGCCAAAACAAUUCAGAGAUUAUUAUGAUAAUUAAGGGAAGAAAAUCACACGCCAAAGUAAUAAUACUGUAAGUGAUCGAUGACGUCAAUUGCAUGCGGAAAAUAAAACUGAAUAUUCAAGAUGACAUAGAACGAUCGUCAUCAUUGGAACACUCCAGAUGACUAGUAUAGUCGCAAUCUUUGCAGCAGUAGACCCAGCAGCCCUCUGGGACUCGCAAAUGUUUUGUUUGUCUUGAUCAUUUUCGUGAUUCGGGGGCAGUGAAGAAUUUAGGAGUGAGGGUGUGCUCAUGGUGAUGAUGAUGCUGAAGGCUCAGAAUUUCAGGCAACGCAGCGGACUGAAGAUGGAGAUCGUAUUUGCAGUGGGAGGCGAAACAAUUAGAGCCGAAUCCAGCGCAGGCAUCGCAUUUGAACACGCCAUAUUCUUAGGGAGGGGUGGAGAUGAGGAAUGAGAGGGUGUUGGGGGUGAGACUUGUGCUUUAUUUGUCGGGGAAGCUCGAAGCACAAGUCGUGGAGGUAAAACUCGCACUUGGACUUGCUGCAUUUGUAAGCUGAAGCACCCGAGUUCAUCAUCAACUCCAGGUCACAUCCUGAGCAAAUGAUAAUUUCAUCAUCUUCUUCUUGCACUUGAAAUGGGCAUAACUCAUGGCAGAGGUUGAAAUGCUUCACCAUCACCAUCUCGAUCGAUCUUUCUUUCGACUCUAAAUUGAUUUCUCCUUGGAUUGGAUGAUCGACGUUCUAAUUAAAUUCUAACGGAUUAAUCAAUAACUAUAGAUGAUGAAGAAGUUGGAGUAGUACGUACGUAGCUGGCUAGGUAGUUAGUUAUGCUCACAUCGUGCGGUCAACUAAUCUAAAAUGUGAUCAUAUAAAGUGGUCGGAUAAUAAUAAUAGAAUAAUACUUGAUACUGACUAGUCAAUACUCAUUUUAUUCACCAACUGAUGUGGACCAACUAUUUUAAAACACUCUUAAACAAAUUUUUUUCCAAUACUUUUGCAAUCUUUGUAACCAAACAGAAUUUGUCCGUUUAAAUCUAGCCAAACAUGGAUCUUCUUCGCCACUGCAUCUUCCGCCCUCCACAACCUCAAGUCCUCGACCACGCUACCCCGUCAACUCCGCCAUCGUCUGCAUGAUCCAAGUAAUGGCUUUAGCAAUCGCGGGAUGAGACUCUCCAGAACGACGUCCAUCGCUGAAUUUCGUUAAUCCGUCUAUCAAUUAUGCAGUAGUCAACUCACUGAAUUUCUCUGUCUUCUUCAUUCAUUUAUACAUAUCACAUUUUAACAAUAUUGAUUUCGGUUAGAGUAAUGUAUAAAUAAAUAUGUGAGAUCUUGGAUCUUGCAAUAAUGCUUGAAAAAUUCAGUGUAUAUAUAUAUAUACACACACACACCCACACUAAUUAAAUGCAAGAUUUCAUUUGACUUUUGCAUCCUUUCCCACUCUUUCUUAAUACCUUGUAUAUAUCCUUUGUGUAGCAUGAAGUGGUUGAGAAUGUAUAGGAAGACAAUGUCAACUUAACCGAUUGGUUUUCCCAAGUACUUCAAGCUGCUAAUUUUAUUUAAUGUUUUGCAACUUAGAUACCACCGUGAAAUUAUGUGUUUAUAUAGGGUUACAUUAUAUAACCAUAUAUCUCUGUAAUAUCUUCAUAUUCUCUAGAAUCCUCAUCUCUGGCCAAUGAAAUUAUAGUUAACUAGGGUGAAAUUAACCGUUGGACUCUCUAAAACUGUAGACAUUAGGCAUAUUCUAUAUAUACUAAAACCCAAACAUGUGGUUACUGUUCUAGGGCAGUGUGCGGACGAAAAUGCCCCUCAAGUUAGUCUUCAGCCAUUACUUUUUGUUCUUUUUGUAUAGUAAAAUCCCGAAUUUGCCCUCAUUUGAUUCUAUCUGCCGGUUAUGCAUGGCUUGGACUUUGUUUCACUUUUUUUAUUGGUUGUAUUUGUUACUACCUUGCCCUGCUGUCCACGCGUCCGUGUGCUAUACGAACUCUCGAGGUUUCGAUUUGGGCCACGCGUCGAUCAUCGUUGGAUGCCCUGUUUUGACUGUGUUUGCUUUACCUUUCGUUUUCCUUCUUUCUUUUGCAAAUUUGCUCAGUUGCUUACCCCUCUGUGUUUCUCUCACUCUCAAACGUUUUCCACCUGCAUCUUCCUUCGGUUUAACUUUCGAUUUCGUUUUGCUUUGUGCUUUCUCGCUGUCAAAUGAUGUUCUAUUUUUGUGAGAGUCGUCAUCCCAAAACGUUGUUGUCUUUCUGUGAGAGAGUUGUAUAAAAAAUUUCCAAAUAUUUGUCUCUCUCUGAGUCUGGGAUUUGGGUCUAUUUGGAAGGCCUCUUCGCAUCUGUGAAGCUGAGGAGCAGCAGUUUGAGAUUGUUGAGUUGAGUCGUCUCCAAAAAUCCAACCCCCACACUGUAUCAGGAUCCAUCACCAUCUCGCGGUGCCUUGCUCAAAUCGGCUCUGCACUCAUCAUCAAGACUCUGCCUUCACGGAGGACUCCACUUAUCCCGUCACUGAUAAAGGUAAAGCACGGCCACCUCUCCCUUUCUUCGUUUUCAUGACCUAAUGUCAAAUCAAGCGACUCUGACUCAUGCAUGUGUGUAUUCUGUAAAGGGGUUUCUCAAUCUGUUGUCUGGACUGAAGAAAAGGAGGAUGGGGCUCUCAAAAAUUUCAUAUCCGAGAAAAGACAAAGGUAUAGAUUUUGUUUAGUUUCUUUGUAUCUUUGAAUUCAUUGGACUUGAUCAUCGAGUAUAAUAUUUGCAGGUGCAAAAUCAUUUUGGGUUUGCAUGCAACCAAGCUUCUCUGAUGCAAACCAACAGAUUGAGAGAAUAUUAUGACCAAUUUCAAAAUUUCAGAGCUUUGUUUUGUUUUUUAUCAUAUUGGACUUGAAUUUGCUUUUUUGUUGUUUGAUUAUAUUGAAAUCAGAUUUUGGGUUUACACUUUUAUUUGGAUUUGAUUAUAAUUUUCUAUACUAAUUAGCUUAUGGGUUGUGAAGUUUCUUAUUCUUCAUUUUUGGUGUUUAUCUCCUCUGUCAUCAUCACUGUUGGUGCUUAUGUUGGGCUUUCAUUUUUAAUUUUUUUUAACAGGACUUUAAGGACAUCCUCAAGGUGCAGCGGUAGAAUCAAACUCUCGAGGUUUGGAUUUUUUUUCCCUUUUUUUUUUGAGUAAUUUUUUGGGUUUCUUCUCGCUUUUAUUAUGACGAUAAACUAUUGUGGGCUAAUGUGUCAAUUUUUUGUGAAUUAUGAAAUUGUUUGUCACACUCCGUUUUUAUAAGGAUUUUUGUAUUGGUUGUGUGAACCUUUUUGUGCAACCCCUUUCAUAUUACAAUUGCUAAUUUAGCUUUUUCAAUUUUGCAGUUGUGUUUGGUUACUCCAUCAAAACUCCUACCCAAAUUGAUUUGUUCUCAAAACAAUCUCAUAAAAUAACAAUAGUGAACAACUAACAGAACUUCGACUGAAAUUGUUCUUGGGUUGCUGAUAAAAAGGUUUGAAAAGAAAAUGAAAUAACAGAACUUAAAUCUUUGGUUUUAGUUGACUGGCUGAUUUGGGUUAUUCUAUAAUUCUUUAGUAAUACGAACAACUAAAAUCAUGUUAUUCAAAUUUGUACUCUUUUUUCAGUCUCCUCAGCAACCAAAUGGAGGGUUAGGUAUCUUGGAAAUAUUUAUGUGCAUUGAAUUAGGUUUUUUUUUUUUUGUUCAAUUUGAAAUCCAAAAUAAUAUAGAAGAUAAUAACAAUUUUUGUUUUAGGUUUCUUCAGAACUGCUGGAGUUUGGAUUUGCAUAUGUUCAGGGGAUUUAUUUGUUUGAUCUUAUCGAUAUUUAGGUAUGAAUCGGUAGAAGAUUGUGCAGACGAUGAUGAAGCAAAGCAGGUGAUUUACAAUAAGUGACAUUUUCUUUGUUCUUUAUUGUGCUAUAGAUUGGAAUUUAUCAUUGUACAUUUUUUUAUUAAAAUUUUUCUGUACAUUUUUUUAUUAAAAUUUUUCUGUGCAAUUUUAUGGUCGGAUUUUCUGCAGUGUGUAUGAAAAACAUUUGAAUGCUGAGAACCUAUUAUAUUCGCAACAUGAUACAACAGAUCAACACCUUCAUCAGCAUGUAAGUUUCUCUAAUAAAUACUUUGGACAAAUGCUUUAUGAAUUUGAGUUUUUAUCUUCUGAUUAUUUUUUGCAGAGGUGGUAUUAAUUUUCCUUUGACUAGAAAUUUAGAGGCUUAAGGUACAAUGUUAUCAAACUCAAUUUUUCUAAUUUUUGAUUCUGGGGUACUGCAUGGAGUGCUAAUAUACUGUUUUUCUGGGAUUUUGGUCUUUGAAAUGGGUAUGUUCUAUUUUUAACGUUUCGGUUCUGGCAUGUUCCACUCUUUUAUUCUGUUGUCUGCCUGCUUCCACGUUGCUUCUUAAUUUUCAUUUUUCAACAUUGGGUGAUGGAAAUUUGUAAAAAUAGUUGUAGUUUCUAAGUUGGGGGUUUUAGUUAUAUUUCCUGUGUAAUCCCAAUUGCAAGACUGAAAAAAUAAUUGAAAUGAUGAUUUUUUUCUUUAUUCAAUUUCUCUUAAAUGUUUUUUCUUGAAUUUAUUCAAUCUCUCUAAUUAGUUUUAUAUUCUCUCCAACCUUUGUGUCUAAUUUUAUUUUUCAUUUUUUUGGUCGCUUUCUGCAGAAGUUAGCAUGAGAUUUUCGCAUGACAUGGAUGAUGAAUAUGAGAAACUCAUCUGGGGAAUGAACCCACCAAGGUAUAUGCAAAAAUCAUUCCUUUGGGUUCAUAUAGAAGUAUGAUUGAACAUUAGAAUCAUAGAAUGUAAAUAAAUAAAUUUUAAUAUAGAUGAGAAUAAAUUUAAUAUAUUUCACAUGUUUAACACAGUUUUAAAACCCGCGGCAUCGCGCGGACUCAAUUUCUAGUAAUAUUCUAUGGUGUUAUCAGGAUAUAUGUCAGCUCCUUAAGAGGUAGGCUCAUUGACUUAAGUUUCAAGAUAAAUGAUCCAAGAUAAUUUCAGUGAGGAUGCUUAAUAAUUUUGUAGUUGUAGCCUAUUUCAUUGUUUUCUUUGCCCCACUGGGGAGAUAUAUUAGAAACAACUCUUGAGAUCGAUGAUCGGACGAUCCGGUACGAUUACUUUUAACAAGGCUUGCUGUUGGAGAGGAGAAAUUUUUAGUUUUGAGGGGAAUACAAAUGGUACACCAUGUGUUUUAAUAGAAGUGGUGAGAAAUUUUAUUUUUUAAGUUAUUAACUUUUUAGCAUACAUAUCCCACCAUUUGUAUAGUAAUACAUGGUAUAUCACCUCGUGUACCGGUCACAUUGAAAAAUCUCUCAUUGGAGAGAUACGCUCAUCGAUCGACUUCAAUGUGUGUACAGUCACCCUAGAAUUUCCUUCCAACCAGUUCGGAAUUAACUAACUAGUUUCAAAGAAUCGAUUUCACCUGUCUGAUUAUAUAGUUAAGUCCACUAGGCUUAAUUCGAUCGAUAUACAUUGCACAGAAGGGCUGAAGAGGACGAAAUUAUCAUAAUUAAGAGCACCUACCGAUUUAAUUAUCCAGUUGAGAGACAAGGAAGUUAGGUAGAGAUCAUCUGAAACACAAGUUCCUCCCUCUGUGCGUGUGUGAGAGAGUGAGGGAACGAGAGAUAUGAUCAUGCAGGUAGCUGGUCAACCUCAACCUCAGGCCUUGCUUCAACAUUUUAGCCACUCACAUCCCUUGAUCCUUUCUAAUCUUCAUCACCCACAGCCCCAACAGAAAAUCUUAAAUGGGCAGCGACUAGCGGCCUCAUGCGUAGCCUGCAAACUAGAUGCCUCUGGCGGAUGGAUAUACAGUUGCACGCCAUGCACUUGCUUGCUUCCCGUGUCAUGUUCACAAAUGCCUCAGCAAAUCACGCAUCCGUUUGAUGAGAAAGAACGUGUCCUACGUACUUUGCUCCCAACCCCAAUAUAUUGUGAUGGGGUCUUCAAUUGCGGUGCAUGCAUGAAGCACGGAAAUGGAUUUUCCUACCACUGCCGAGAUUGCAAGACUGAUCUCCAAACAACUUGUUCUUCAAAGCCAUUGGUUCAUACUCAUCACUCCCACCCUCACCAACUCGUUCUCUCCUUCUCACUUCCUCCGGGGCCUACCAGCAGCGAGACCUUCAUAUGUCGUUAAUGCAACCAAGUUGGGUGUGUACAAAGAGUGGCUCUACUUAUGCCAUCCUCGCGGCUUUGCGGCUUAUUUGUGCAAAAAUUCUUAAACAACUUUCUUUAUCAUUGCACUUUUUUUUUUUAUUAUUAAGGACACUUUCUAAAUUAUUAAGGCCAUUUUCUUUUCAUUUAAAACCCUCUUGAAGUGUGGUUCUUUUUUUCGUUCUUUGUGCUUAUAACAUAAAGAACAUCCUUAAUAAUAAGUAAAGUUGUUUUAAGUGUUAUUCUAUUAAAAAAAAAAAAUUGUGAGGGACUUUUUAUUAGUUCCCAAAAAAAAGUUUAAAAUUAAUGAAUGAGAAAAUAUCAAGAUUGAAGAAUAGCAGCCUGCAGCCUAUAUUGGGCUCAAAGUCAAGGUUUGAGGCAGGGCAAUUGACGGGCCUAAGUGAGUAUGGGCCGUCUCCCAGCGGACCCGGAGGGAAACCUAACGGCACCAAGAAAGAACACGUUAUGGUCAUGAACCGGCUUGGCUCCAAGGCGGUAUAUUCCCAGUCGCUUAUCCGCCAUUGGCGCCUCUCUCUCUCUCAUACACAAAACACAGAGGAAAGAAGAAAUAAAAGAAGCAGCUGGCUCCUGCGUCCUUGGCCGAUCCUAUACCUAUACAUAUACAUAUAGGUAUAGCUUUAUUCAAUUAUUUUCUUCUUUCUUUUUUAAUUUUUCCCCUGUAGUUGUUCUCUCUGUUCAACGACGAUAUAUCAUAUAUAAUGUUUAAAGGUACAUAAAUCUGAUCAUCUGCCAAUUGGAAAUCUUUCCUUGUUGAUAUUUCUUGAUUCGUUGCUUGCCUGAACUUACGCAGGGCUUGCAAUUUUCCUGAAUCAAAGCAUAAUUAAUUAGAAAAUGGUGAUGUAUGUUUGAGUUUUCAGUUUUCAAGGAUUUUUUUUUACCAGGGUUAUGUAAUGUAUGAGAUAAAAGGUUUUGUUUAAUUUGUUUUGGUUGUAUUGAAGUGAUGAAGCAUACCCCUUUAAAUCCAAUGACAUUGUUUUUGCAUGUUUGGCAGGAAAGUAACCUUGUUUGUUGCUUAUUUUCUGCAAGUGGGUGACUGAAAUUGUUCUGGAUUCAACUGGGUUCUUGUUCCUAAAGGAAUAAGAUUCGUGGAAUUAUAUGGAGAUGGGGAGUAAUAUAAGGGAAGAAAUCAUGAUUUUGGAUUUAAACCAAGAGCCUUUAGACCAACUGCCUGAUUCGGUGAUCGGAUUAGAUAACAUACUCGAUGAGCUUGAAACUGCCCAUGGACGCAUUGAAGAACGUAUCAGACAACUAGAAGCAGUCACUUCCAGGGCUAGGCAGCGUCAGAGGUGGCGACAAGCUCAAAUUUCCCCUCAAAUUGUGAAUAUCACUGCUGGUGUUGUUGCUUCUGAUACACAAAACGAACACAGUCAGAAUGAGGACGAUGCUCCAGCUGCCCGAGAAACAGUGGAAUCUGGCAAAACCAACAGAGGUGAUAACAUGCAUUUGAUAGCCAAGGCACUGGGGAUGGAUACAAAUGUGAAAAAGGCAGAGCCUCAUACUGGGAGCUUUUUUGAUUGUCAUAUAUGCUUGGAUAUGGCAAGAGAUCCUAUAUUGACAUGUUGCGGUCAUUUGUUUUGUUGGCCUUGCUUCUAUCAGUUGUCGUAUGCGGAUUCAAAUGCAAAGGAAUGCCCCGUGUGUAAGGGAGAAGUAACUGAUACAAGUCUGAUUCCAAUUUACGGGAAUGGGGAUGGUAAAUGUUUUCGCAAGUCAAACGAGUCUGUUUCAAAGGCCCCUCCUAGGCCCCCUGCACACAGGAUUGAGGGUUUGAGGCAGCAGCGUAUUAGGCGGGGCCCAUCUUCUACAUUGAUUGAAGAAAGGAUUCAGCAACUUAGCAACAUAGUUGGUUCAAUGGGGGAGAGAAGACGGUCACGGGAUAGUUUCCAUGCACAAGUCAUGGCUGAAAGAACUAGUUUCGUGCCCAGCCAGGACCAGACAUCACAGGCAUCACCUGCCACUGAGACAAGAAACCAACACCAGCAUGAUUCCCUUCAAGUUUCAAGAUUAUUACUACAAGGAGCCGCUUCAGUAUCUUCCCUUUCAUCAGCAUUGAAUACUGCAUUGGAUUCAGCAGAAAGAUUAGUCGAGGACCUCGAGGAAUAUAGUAAUGGUCACCAUGUUAGAAGAAACCGUCAUCAAUCUUUACAUAUUGAUAAUGGAGAUACAUCUGUGAGCAUUGCUGCAGUUAUACAACCAGAAACGCAGACUUCUGAUACUGCUGCUGAAAUCAACUCUGAUGCGCUCCCCUCUGCUUCCUUUAUAAGAACUGAUACCAUUAUUGUGGAUCAGCCAACAGGUUCAGAAACAAAUUUUGCAUUGCAUCCCUCAUCUUCUAGGAGAACUAAUUCAAGAGGUUCUGAUUCAAACAAUGGAUAUACAUCUGAACCUAGAAGGAGAAGGUUGAGAUAAACAAAAAGCUGUUUCCUGGAGAUAUAGAUCAAUAUAAUACAAGGUUCCUCAUCAUCAUCCUGCAAACUUUUUUGUUUGCAGAAGGUUUCCGAAUUUAGUUCAUAUGGCUGUGUUUGGCAACCAUGUAUGAAGUUCUGACUGCUGUUAAAAGCAUUUUUGAAUUCAUUCUGUAAAAAGGUACUGAAAUUUGAUGUAUGGCAUCUGGGCUAUCUAUAAGAGCACCUUUUUGUCCUCUUUCCAAGAAUUGAACUUUCCAUGGAAGAAUCUUUCGGUGUUGUUCUCUUUCAAAGGAUAUAUUGAGGAUAGUUUCUGGUGUUAUGCCAUGGCACAGGGUCCUUUUUGUAUGCCAAAGAGCAGUCUAUAUUUGUAAGUCUUAUAGGUGCUAAUUCUUGAUUCUGUAUGCUUGUACAUGCUUUAUAUCUUGGUAAAUAUAUAUGUACUACUACUAGCUUUUGAAACUGUCAGCUGCUAGUUCUUUAAACUGAUACUUUCUUGGAUUUUAUUAUGACAAGUCCAAAACUAAUGGCUGGUUGUGGCAUUAUUUUGCUGACCAACUCUACUUUCGUUGAGUUUACUUGAUCCUUCGAUUAAUUCUGCAUUAAGUUAUCAGGCACCAUUAUUCAUAUUGUAUAUUUUGGUUGGAUGAUCAAGUGUUAAGAUAAGGUCAUUUGAGUUCAUACCAUUUGCCACCCAAUCCUCUAGGUUUGGAAGUAGAAAUAAAGAUAAUACGAUGGCAUUUUUCAAUGCUAAACAUUGACUUCUUGAAAUACCUUGGACAUGCAAGUGGUAAGAAGAAGAUUAGGAUUGCCAAUUUUUUCAAUUGAUUUGUGAGGGAUGUUGACAUUUAGCUCUAAAGAGAAAGAUUUCAGUUAGGGCUAUACUUUGUAAUAAGAACCUAUUUCUAAUGUCUUUUAAGAUGGCAGAAAUGUGACAAGGUAGCAAAUCUUAUCACUCAAAAUGGAAAGAAAAAAAAAAUUGGAAACAGCUGGUUGUCAGUCGCGUUCUUUUUGGUCUUCGUAGGUUUUUAAGUUGAAAGUCUGUACAUCAGUAGGCGUCUAAUUAAUUUUCAAAAUACAUAUGAAAACUACUCGGUCAAUGUUUGGUGCAUGAGUUUGGGCUGCCAAACUCUGAAAGUUCGAUCACUUUCCUGUUAAGUAUCCUUUGGAACAAAAGGUCGAUUUCCCAUAUUUAGACUCAAAUGCUAAUAAAUCCUGAGUGGUUUUCAAUCUUUGAUGGGCUGAUAUUCGGUUUGUAGAUUUCUCACUCUGUUAUUUUAUGACCUUAUCCUUGUCGAUGCUGGAGUUAGUUACUUUUAUUUGUUCCAUAUUAGGGCAUAUAUCGUCUAUUUUGUUGUCUGACUCGCCAGCUUCAGUUAUGCAUAUUGGUGAUUUAUAAGAUGCCAUAAAUUACAUUUAUAGAACAUCAAGUUUCUGUCUUUUCUGUCUUCGUGCAAGUUUGAUACAGUGCAUGAGUUACAAUGAGCAAUUUGUUUUUUACUGUGAUCAGGGUCAAGUAUUUGUCCUUUUGUAUGCUAGUGAUCACCUAAACAAGUAUCAUACAUUCACAGCUAAAAAACAGACUAUUUUUCUUGUUACCAGGGGAAAGUCAUUACCAUAUCCUGGAAUGAGAAAUAAAUGUUUAUGGAUAGAAAAUGAUCUCGUUCCACUUCCCCUCUCUUAGUAGUAGUUCUUUCAUAGAUCAUUGAAAGUAGUUAUACAAUGAAGAAGUUACUCAUUGGAAACAUCGAUAUGAUUAUGUAAGGUUGAAAAUGAAGAUGACUUAAAAGAGUGUGAGUCCAUAUCAAAAUAUUUAAUGUGAGAUUUUAUGAAGAUGCACCAUCUUUUCAAUGAAUUUCUCUGGCUUGAUGCUUAUCUCUUGGUCGUUCAGUUCUUCUUGUGGCAUACUUCAGAUCUGUGUUGGUUUAGAUGUUUGCCUCAAUUGUGGCCAUCGACUCGAUCAUGGUAAAUCACCUCAGUUAUAUAGAUGAGUUAUUGCCGCAAGGUUGUUUUUUGGUUUCAGUUCAAAAUUCAAAUUGAUUGACAUUGCUUGAAGGGACGUGGAAAUAGACGACAAAAGAAGUUUAUUGGAGUGGAUAUGGUUGGUUUACAACCCGAUUUUAAAGAGGUAUUCUUUAUAUUUUACAUGCAAAGUACGCCAGUGUUGAAACCAUGGUUAUUUCUUCUCUGGUAAAUAGAUUUUUUUCGUAAACUUUAUCUCUCUCUGAAGUGUCAACCCUGUCCCUUGGAUUCUUAAAUCACAUAGAGUUGAACCCCUAACGGUUAGUUUGAUAUAAGUAUGCUCCAUUAACCUCAUCUGCUUACUUGUUUGCUAUGUUGCUCAAAGAACUGAUUAUUGCAUAAUGCCGUAAAAGCUUUGAAUGUUUCUGUUUCAGGAGUGUGAUUGCUGCUGUUGAAAUUGAAAGCGCAAGUUGCAGCUGACUGAGAUUAAGGUGCGAUUGCAUUGCAUGUAAUUGUGGUGCUGUGUAUUACAUUUUGCAAGAUUUAUUAGAUUUGAAUCGAGUUUAUUCCUCUCAAAAGAGAAGUAUACAAUGUUGGUAGACAAAUGCAUAAAAGGCAUAUAUAAAGCCCCAAAUCUAUCUGAGCCUAAACAUAUGUAACAGAUUUGUUUGGGUAUUGGUUGAGGGAGGUGGCUCUCGAACACAUGUUCAACGCCUUCUCCUCCAAUUUUGGUACACGAUUAUUAUCUGUUUAAGUUUCUUAAGCAUUCGCUGCCAUUAAUUAAUGUUAUUUAUCUUUGGAAAGCAAAUUUAGGGGAUUCUUUUUUACUUUUGAUUGGGAUUUUGUAGUUGAAUAAGGGACAUAUUCUGCACUCUCUUCGUGUUAUGUCUGGUUGAUUGAUGCUCAGCCUUAACUCCUGCCUAGUUUAACUCAUUUAAAGGACUAACAAACUAAUAUAAUAUGUACGUGAAUGCAUGCAUGCAUGAUGCACCACACUAAGAAGAAGGAAUCAUUUCUAUUUUUCUUAAUAUUUAUCCUCUCUCUUGCUUACGAACUAAUCAUCUUCGGUUACAUUACUCGUGCUCAGUAAAUAAUGCUAAAUUAAUCAAGUUUGUUGACUGUAAAAGGGCAUCAAUGAGUACUUCAAUGUUAUUGGACAGCCAUCCACGCGCGUCUUUGAGUGCACACUGUUAAAUAGGAAAUUUAUGGAACCCACGUUUAUUAACGGAUCACAGUUACCCAUCAUCAAGCAGCAUCAAAGGCAUAAAACAAUUGUCUUAGUGUGCUUAGCAACUUGGAAAUUUUGGGGGCCUAGUGGGUAGUUGUAGGUCGUUCGGUCGGUCGGAUUACGAUGCAUGCAAUGAUUCUGAUGAUUCCGAUGGGGCUGACUGCCAGACAAUUUAACAAUGAUUUUUUCACAAACCUUAUCAAUUGCCUCUGCUUUGCCCAAAUAUCCCCGUCCCCCGCCCCCACUCCCCUUGGGCUCCAAUCCUUUUCCAUUAAUCAUUCUUCCAUCCUCUUCUUUUUCUUCUUCUUUACGUAUAAAUCAUGCAUAAAAGUCCAUAAGUAUGGAAUCAUUUUAGAGAUAUCUAAACCGACCAAAUAAAACUAUAUUAUUUAUGUAAUAGCAACAUUCCAAAUUCUAUCAAUUCAAUCUUGACAAGUGCCCAAGUUCUGCAAAGGCAUUCCGACCGAUGGAUGUUAUCUGGCUCCUUGAUUGCAAAUAAUUGUAUUAACAUCUCACAAAAGCAAUAAGUGUGUGUUUGUUGCACUGAACUAUUUCGUACUAGACUAACUUUAAGGAUUAAGUUGGAUUGACUUGGCAAGAUAACAAUAGAAAAACAUUUGGUGCAGUAUCAGACUAAACGACAGACUAAGCCAUCUUCUUUCUCCGAAUGAUCUCAUCAAAUCAAAACCCAGAGAUCUCAAGAAAUUCUCAAUAAAAAACCAAAAUUCCCAACAAACCACAACCCAAGAUCACAAGAAAUUCUAUAAUUUUUUUGUCAACCAAAAAAUAAGAGAGAUACAAAAGAAGGUAUGAGCACUGGAUGGUCCUCUACUUUCUGGGAGCUAGUCUCGUUAAGACCGGAUAGCUAAGACAUUUAGUCAAGGCGAGUCCCUCGUAAUUUCAUUAAAAUUAGUCGCUGCGACUAAUAAUACGAGACUAUACUACCAUUAGGCCAGUCCAGUGAAUUCUAGUGGUGUGGGAGACAAACGACUCUGAAAAAAAGUCACCAAUGUCAAAGUUUGGUAAUUUGACACCCGCUGCUGGAGGUCUUGGGUUCAAAACCUGUUGUUGGUGUGGAAGUCAGACUUGUGGCCAGAGGGAAGCUGAAAUGUAUCUGUGAGUCUUCCGACUCUCGAAAGAGGUGGAUAACCAUGACUUGCCACCAAUUGACUUUUUUAUUUUAUUUUUUUUAAGUGUGGUAAUUUGUCAGGAAAACAAAAUGUCGUCAAGCAUAUAAGACACCUUCAAUAUGAACCCGCUGGGAGAUAAUUGAGUUUUACUUUUUCUAUUCUUUUGUUAUUUUUCUUCCUUUUUCAUCUAUUGGGUACUUGUCAUUGUUUCCAAUAGAAUAGCACGUUUCUUUGAGAACAUCCGAUAAUACUGUAAUGAUGCCCUAGACUAGGCAGCAAAUAAAAGUUUGAAUUACAAUAGUAAAGAAAAAUGAAAGAGUCAAAAUGUAAAAAGUGGUGUUGUUUACAUACGUACCCUUAUUUUGCCUCUUAUGUACUUUUGGUUAUUUUAUAUCAUUUAAUUUUUUUGAAAUUCAUUCGAUUAGACAAUACAAAAUUAAAAAGAAUGUGAAAAAUAAGAAUAGUACGCGGGUAGUUUCAUCCCACACUAAACAAUACAAAAUUAAAAAGAAUGUAAAAAAUAAGAAUAGUGCGAGGGUAGCUUCACCCCACACUAAAAAAACAGGAGAGUGAGGAAUUGAAUGAGCGGAUGAGAACUUGAUGAGAUGUGCUGAUGGAGUUGAGUGACUAUCAUGAGUCAUGCAUGCACGCCUUGUAAAAGUUGAUUAUGACCUUUGUUGGGUUUGACUGCCUUUCUCCAUCUCAACUCUGAAAGUCGAUCUUCAAGUCUCAACCCCACAACAACAGAGUCUCAUUGAUCAUCAUCAUCAUAUUUAAAUUCAAUUGGGUUCGGAUGGCCAUCCUUUCAUUAUUUUCUCUCUCCUGAUUAACUUAAAAACAUUUCUGUUGUAAUAAUGUUGGUACCAAAUUAAACAAUGUUAUUAUUACAACAAAGUUAUUACUUUACAAAGGUGUAAGUUAUAAUAAUUAUUUUUUAACUCAAGAGUUAUUCUUAAUAAAAUUGUACAGAUAUAAAGGCAUCAGGAAAAUAGACAUAGCCUUAAGUAGCUAUUAGUGGUUAGGAAGAUACAUAAAGAGUUAUGUUCUUAUUGACAAUUAUUACCAUGUGGAGGUAAAUUUUUUAAGACGAAAUCUAAAAAAUUAUAACUUAUAACAAUAUAGAAGUUACUACUAUUUAUAAUUGGCUCGAGUUCAGGCUAAAAACAAUUUCUUGACAAGAUAAAAGUUGAUGUAGAUCAUAUGCCUAAUGGACUGAAGAUCAAGUCCAAAGGCGCAAAUCGGGUAGUAAGAACAAAGCUUUGCAAAUUUGGGCUUUGGUGUACGACUUGGGUUCAUAAUCCGUUGUUUUGAAACUGCGACACACAUCAAACUCACCACUUUGUUCUAAUAGAGGACUUUUCAGCUAAAUUUCAUUGUUUACAAAUUUUUAUUAGGGUUUUAAGUUUCAAAGACGUUUUCUUUAUUUUGUUAGUUUUCUUAGUUUUUUAAUUAUGCAAAUUUCCAUCUUCUUCUUCUUGGACGAAAAUGUACCUGCAAAACAAGUAACACUUAAGAUCAAGGCCAAGAGUCUCACGCGCCCAUGAUGAUUUUGGAGGGGGGUGUUUUGGCCGAAGAAUCUCCAAUGCCAAAGUUAGAAUUUGAGAGAAAGUGUUUAGAGAAUUUUUGGGAGAGAAUUAGACUUAGGUUUUUGGAGAAAAUGAGAGGCUAUAUAUAGGGUGUGGCCGGCCCUAUUUGGAGAAAAAGGGACCGGCCACUUAUGGUGGUAUUUUGAAUAUAAUUGCAAGAUAUUAUGUCAAAUAAUAUCUUGCAAUUCAAUUAAUUUGGUAAUUAAUCCCAAUUUGAAAAAAAUAAUUGGGAGUUACCUUGUGGGUGAGGAUUUGAUGAUGAGUAAUGAAAGAGUUUUGAAUAAAUACCAUUUUGAUCACAUUUGACCUUGAUUGAGCCGUUAUUGUCUGUUACAUGUGCAUGGGAAUCCCGGUGUGCCUUGUGGAUAAUUUUAUCCUUUUCACCGAAAAGUACAUGUGUCGCCUCCAUAAUUUUCUUGAUUAUUUUUUGCUCCACACAUCCCUCCCCUCUCUUAAUGUAGAUUAGUGUAAAAUAUCGCUUGUAAUUAAAAAAGAUGGAUGUUUAGACCUUAGGUUUGUUAUCUUAUCAAUUAUCAAUCAAUAAAGUUUGAUGUUUUAUCAUACAAUGAUGGAUUCCAUACCAGAAGAGAAGGUGGCCUAGUUCACUGCGAAGUUCAAGAUCUUCUGCACCAAGUUCGGCCACUUCGAUUAUAAAUGUGAGAAUAUAGGUGCGCUGAAUCGGUAUCAGGCUGUAAAGGCACAUGUGCUCCAAGGAGAUGAGAGUUUUAAUGGUGAACAUGGUUCGGCUAUUUGAAUGUUGAACUGCAAAAUGCACUUGAGAGUAACGAGUCAUAGAACACUUCACUUCACUGGGAAGUUAAUGAAGUGACGUCUUUGGGCAAAUGAAUUAAGAAUUCUUUGCCUGCUGAAACUUGGAUAUGUAAUCAACCAACUUAGAAGUAGUCCAACUGAAGGUGCUUCUAUGUUGCUUGCUUCUACGGCACCAGAGCUGUUUACUUGUCUAAACUAAAGGUGUCGCCGAUUGUCAACACAUUGUUGUUCACUUAUCCAAACUGAAAGUGUGUUGACGUGGGAGAGGUGGGUAAGGGUAGCUAGUAUUUUUCUUAAAGGUGUGAGAAGUGUUUCAUGUAAAGCGAGGUUUUCGCAUAGAGCGUUUUGAGUUGUUUAUUGAGUUGAAGGGGUUCUCUAUGUUACAAAAUCUCUUGUAUUUAUAGGGAUAAAUUUCGUGAUGGCCAAGUCUACCGAAUAGUAUAAUUCUAAUAUUCUUCAGCAUAUUCUUUAAAUAGACUCGGAAUUAUUCUCAGUCGAAACUCGAUUGUCGCAGGAUCUCGCCGUCUUCGACUAGGACUCUAAACCUAGAUGAUUAUGUGAUUGAUUCAACCUUUAUCCCGAAAUCAAUUCCUGAUUCUUAGUAUUCCUCUCAUCCAAUAGCUUAAAGUACAUGGACUGAGUGCGUGCAAAAUCAGAUCCAAACAAUUGUACAACAUUUUAAAGAAAAACAUAUUGUAUAAUUCAAUGUGAUAGUUACUAAAAGUAAAGUUAUGAAGACAAAAGGAAAAAAGAUUAUAUUACAUGAUAUUUUAAUGUUGCAUUAGUAUUUGAUAAUUUUGGGAAAAUUUUCUAGCUUCUUAAACUGGUUGUUUUUUUUUUAAUAUUGUUACAUGUUUGCUUAGAACUUUGUGUUUUACCCUAGCCAAUUUGAAUAAGCCCAAAUCGAGUUGCGUCCUCAAUGUAAUUUUGUUACAAGAAAAAUGGAAGAGUAAUAAUAAAUAGAGACUAAUACAAAUAGGGUAGUGCUAUACACACACAUUUUUACGCUCCACACAUCUUUUGUUAAUUUUUAUCAUUUGAUAUUCUUCAAUUUAUUCGAUCUGACAACCAGAAAUUGAGAGAGUGUGUGAGAAGUAAAAAUAGGUAUCUAAAUAGCACCACCCAUACAAAUAAUAUGAUACUGAAUCAACAAUAAACUUAUUUGAUUUUGAUGGGGCAGCAGUGCAAUAUUUAGCAGCCUAGCCCGCAGGAUUCUUGGACAAGGAAAAAGGCAUAUAUAAAUGGUUGAUUGGAAAAUCUAAUGGACUAGACUUGGCCAAUUAAUAGUCAAAUCCUUUUAUCUUUCUCGUGCUUAACCAAAUCCAAUCACCCCUUUUCCCGAUCUUCUGCUGUUAAGUGAUAAAUGAAAUGUUAAUUUUCCAAAUAACUAACCAAAUGAAAUGGUUCAAACUUUUAAGCUUGUCGCGUGUAGUACGUACCCUGCAGAGGAGGAAGGUGUGUUUGCUAAUUACUUGCUUGGAAUUGGUAUUUGGUAAUAAGUCCAAAUCUUCAUUCUCCCCUUCACAUUAUUCCUUCUCAUCUCCACGAAUUGCCGAUCACACCUAAAAACCCUAUCUUAAAAUGAAUCUUAAUGUGUUUUUUUUUUUCCACUCAGGCUGGCAAUUGAAAUGUACGUGGAUACAUUUUUAUUUUACAGUUUUCUUACAUUACAUUUUAAAUAAUUUCUGAUUGUUAUUGCCUAUUGAGUUUAUAUUUCAUCAAUAGCAAAAAUUCAUUAAAAAAAGACACCAAUCGCAUGAUGCAUGCAUGCAUCUCACUAUCAUAUGUAAUUUAUCAUCGUCUCAAGUCCACAACUCGUAUGGUAGGAUGACACAUGCAUCUAUGAUUUUUAUUUUAUUUUAUUUUAUCAAAACAUGAACGAAACAGACCGCAGAUUAUUAUUUUACGAGAUAAAUGAAAUUAACAAAUAUAAUCGUAAGAUGAAAAAGUAGUUAACAUGCAUGAAAAGAAAAGGUAUCUAAUUAAAUAAUUAAUCUUAAAUUGAAUCAAACAAAAAACAAAAGGCGAGCUUUUAAUUGAAGAAGAGUGAGAACAUCGGAUUACUAGCAGGUUAUCGUGAUCAUGAAUGUUUUCACCCUAAUUACAUCCGAAACCAAACAUUUAGGACGAGUGCUCUGCAAUAUCAUUAUUUUGCUAAUCUUUCCAAUCACUUUGCUUAAAUUACGUGAUGUGCAUGAGGGACAUCUUAUGAUUGCACAUUUAGAAGCUUUAAAAUGCAACUUUGUCUUUUGGAAUGCGUUUUGAUUUUGAUAAUCAAUUGCAUUACAUGAUCAUUUCAAAGAUUUACCAUCAUGAGCUCUAUAUAAUAACGAGCAAUAUUCACAAACAAAAAACUUCUAAUAAAAAUAGAAUUAUAAGACACCAAACAAACAAUGCCAUAUAUAAACCACAAUUUAGUUUCCAUUUGCUGAUUUUUAUACCCUCAAAUCUUAGGUUGACCAAAUUUAAGGUAAUGGUGAAAGUGAUAGCGGUAGGGGUGAUGUGAUAGUGAUGGUAAGGUAAUGGUGUAAGAGGUUUGCUCUUAAUGUGAGUGAGCUAGUGUAUACGUGUCUUCUUUUUUUUUUUUUUUUUGAGGCGAGUGUAUAUGUGUUUUGAUAUGUAAGUAAUUGGACAGAUAUUAAAUAUAUUUAAUUCUAAUUAAAUAUUACAGAGGAAAAUUAAAUGAACUUAUUUUGUUAAAACCUCUUACGAAACUGGUUGUAACCAACUCGAUGAUAGGAGAGUGGUUACCAACACAUAUGCACGGCUUUGGCCUCUCUUUUCACGUUAACGUGUCCAAUAUAUGCUCGCCUAUUGAGAGCAAGAAUUGUAAGGAAUCGAGAGAAGAGAAGAUCGAAGAACGAAGAACGAACCUAUUCAUGAUGAGUUCUUUUGUAGAUACGAACUGAUAUUAAUUAGGGCUUACUUUUGAUUAGAAGUUCUAACUAUUAGAGCGUGGUUUAAUGGCUUUAUUGGUUUUGAUAGUUGCUCACAGUGGUGGAUUCAGGAAGAGUCCCAAUAAUAAAGGUGAAAAAAUUAAUAGACAAAAAUAACAUUGAAAAGUUUAAUUAUAACAUUGAAGUUUUAUUCUCGAGUCUCUUUCAAGAUUAUUCAAAUCAAUGUAACACUCAUUUUUCCUUGAACUUAAAUUAUCCGAAUAAAUAGAGGGUGCUAUUGGCUUUGGUGAAAAAUCUUUCCAUGUUUCUUAUUUCUACAUUACACAAUUGAUAAAAAACACAAAAUAUAUACCAAUUAACCAAUAAACAAAAAAUCCAUCUAAAUUCCAAUAAUCACAUGAGUAUACAAACAUAAAACAUAUCAAUAAUCAUAUCAAAUAAUUGACUAUAAACCUCCAUCAAUAUCUAAUAUACUUUAAUUGAGAUUAGAUUAGAAUACCAAAAACUUGCAUGAAUUUUGAACCAAUUGAUGGUGGUGUAGAGAUUUGAAACAAAUUGAGGUAUGAUAUUGGAGUAAAGUUUAAAUAUGGGAUCGGGUAGGAUUUAGAAUUUUAGGGUUUUAAAAAUUAAGGAAUUGGGUGAAUUUGUGAAAAUCAGGACAAUGGGAUGGGGAAGAGUGGGACUUGGGGGACGUGCUAGCUGGGAAUUUAAAACAAAAGAUACACUAACGAUUACGUUUUGUAUAUUGUUUUAAUUAAAAAAAAUUAAAAGAGUUGGCCAAAACGAGCAUUUUGGGCCAAGCCUUAAAAAAGAAAGCUUCUUCACGCGGUCAUCUUCUCCGAAGACGCCGCCGCUUAGCCGCUGUAGCUUGCAUACACAGGCCUUCCUCCUCGAGUGUGAGGGGUCCUUGGAAAAUUUCAAGCAACGAUUCAGGGUUGUCGAGGGGUCAUGGGACUUCCCAGGUCUCUCUAUGGGUCCGCCACUGGUUGCUCAAUGAUGUCUAAAUAUAUAUAUAUAACGCUUUCAAAUGGUGGUGACAUAGUUAUACAUACAAGGCGGUGAAGUAUAUCGUCAAAAGUAUGAAAAAUGAAAGGAAAAAUUAGUAUCAGGUCCCUAGUUUCUAAUGUUCAUUGACUAAAACCUUAUUAUUUUGUAGAUUUUGAUCAAAGUCCCUAGUAUUAAUAUAAGUUACAUAAUUUUUAUAAUAAAAAUUAGUAAUUGAUUUAGAGUUUUAAUACUCACACCCUUACUAAACUCCUAAUUAAUUUUAAUUCAAACAUUUCCAAAAUAUAAAAAAUAAAAUUAGAAUAAGUUUGUACCCAUUAAAUUUUUAUAAAAAAAUGAUAUGUACCCAUUCUUAAAUAUACCAAUUUGGUAUAUGAAAAGUGUACCCUUUUUAAUAUAAAAUGUACCCAUUUUUUAUAUAAACUUAUAUGAGUACAUUCUAUUUCGUUGAUUUAAGAAUGUAUCAAUGUCAAGCUUAACUGAAGAAAUUCUUAAUAAUUAUUAAGCCUAAUGUCUUUUUUUUUUUUUUUUGAAAAAUGUACCAUGUUUUGGUAAAAUAAUUUUUUUGGUUUGUUUGAACGUACACAUGUAUACACAUAAUUUAUUGGAGAGUAUAAUUUAUCUUUAAUAUUUUUAAUCCCAUAAAUUAUGGGUUUUAUUUAAAAUAUCAUUAAUAUAAAUAACUAUAAAUUUCAUUUUUAGUUUAAAAAUAAAAUAACCUACAUAGAAAUACAUUAUUACAUUAAUGUCACGGACUUCAAUCAAAAACUAAAAAUCACAAAAGUUUUGGUCAAAGAACAUUGAUAGUUAAGGAUCGUAUCAAAGGUGUUCCAAAAUGAAAUCUAUCAAAAUCUUAAGAGAUGAGACUAGAUUUGCUAUGACAAUAAUAUAGUAUAAAAGCAAUCACAGUCCAUCGGAAUCCAUGACUUCUAAAGACUAUUUUAAUUCAAAAAUCAACUAUUGAUCCAGUUUAUCUAUUUUGGCUUAUUCAUUGAGACACCACAUUUUGUAGACCACUAAGCAAAUAGAUUAGGUCCUUUGAAAAUGUUAUAAGGCACCAAGUCACCUGCUAAGCGACUGAGUGAAGAAUGAGGAUGGAGGUCGAUCGAGGAAGAUUGCAAAAUCUUGAAAUAAAGUCUCGUGUUUCUUCCUUCUUCCUUUCACGUGUGUUUGUCAACCAAACUGAGUAGUAAGGUCGGUCAAACUGGUUCCCACAAACAACCUCAAUUAUUAUUAUACAAUAAAGAAAAAUUCAUAAAUUGAUUAAUAAAUCACAAAAAGGGAGAAAUUGAAGAAAAGAGAGAGUAGUGUUUGGUUGAGUCUGCGGUUGUAUAUAAAAAGAGAAUCUUUUUUCAAGAAACCAAGGCUUCAAUUUUCUGGAAGAUCAUGGAGCUUUGUUUGAGCUUAGGAGGUCAUGAGGAACCUGCAGAGCGAUCAGAUCAGAACACCACCACCACCACCAAAACGACAGAGUUUUGUAUGAGCUUAUCAAUCGGUCCAAGCUGUGCAGCUGGUACUACUAGUACUCCUCAUCCUCCUCCAAGACAUGAAGCAGCUGCAGCAGAUAAAAAGCAAGAUGAUGAUGAUGGUGAUCAUAUCCAUGUAGAUGAUCAUGUACCACUUCAACUUGAUCUUCUCCUUUGGCCUACUCCUCCUUGUAAUCAGAUUCAAAACGGUGAGAUGGAGUUUAUUAAAUUCAUUAAUAAUUACCAUUUUAAUUAAUUUAUCUUUUUGUUUUAGGGUUUAAUCAAUUAUGUUUCUGGGUAUUAAUUAAUGGCAUAAAUAGCUGGUGUGCUGUCCAUGAACGUGAUCAACAGAGUUGAGGAAGUGGUGGCUGCUGCGUCGUCAUCGCACACAAACAGUGGUUCGUCGUCGUUUCAGAUCAUGGAUAUCGGCAGUAAUAAUCACAGCAAGGGCAGUGCAGGUGAUGAUCUGAAUAAUAAUUACCACAACGUCUACAACUACAAGAGGAUGGCUCACUCUGCAGAAGCACAAGGAGAUGAUGAGGGAGAAAGGGCAUCUAAUUCCAGGGUGGGCAGCGAUGAGGUGGAGGAUGACAUCAUCAAUGGUAACACUAACACCUCUAGAAAGAAGCUCAGGCUCUCCAAGGAACAAUCUGCUUUUCUUGAAGAAAGUUUCAAAGAACACCAUACUCUCAAUCCUGUAAGUGUAAAGUUUUAAUUAUAUAUAAUUAAGGACACAAAACAUAUGAAAAUGUUCUCUUAUUGGACUCUUUGUCUUUGUCUCGCACCAUGAAUGAGGACCAUAUAUAAACUAGGUAUUGUUUCGCAAGGAACAUAUUAAUUACACAUAUAUAUAUAUAGAGAUCUAAUUUAUUUAUGAUAUUAAUUAAUGGCGCAGAAGCAAAAGCUGGCACUGGCGAAACAGCUUAGUCUUCGUCCAAGACAAGUUGAAGUUUGGUUUCAGAAUAAAAGAGCAAGGUAUCUAUACAUCUAAUCUAGCUAUAUCAUCUGCAUCUGUAUUUGUAUAUGAACGUAGAAAUCGUAUUACCUAAAAGGGAGUUCUUGUUGACAGACAAUUAGUUUACGCAAAAUAUUGGGACUUGAAUAAUGGAUGAUAUGAUGAUGUGAAUUAAUUGAGUGCAGGACAAAGUUGAAGCAAACGGAGGUUGACUGUGAGUUCCUAAAGAGAUGUUGCGAGACACUGACGGAAGAGAACAGAAGGCUAAACAAAGAGCUACAAGAGUUGAGGGCUUUGAAGGCUACUCAUCACUCAAACCCAUUCUCCAUGCAAUCACCAGCCACCACCCUCACCAUGUGUCCUUCCUGCGAGCGCACAGCCACCACCGCUAACCCAGCCAGCAAAACCACCAACAAUACUAAUAACAAUAAUAAUAAUAAAGUUGAGUCAACUAGUACUACAAAAGUCCAAGCAGCUAAGUUCCCUCUCAAAAGACCCAGCUUCUAUCCAUUUUUUCAACCCAAAUCCCACUCCUCUUCCGCAGCUUCAUGAAUACUACCAAAGCUUCCUUCCAAAUAGGGUUAUAUUUAUUUGGUGGGCAUGUACAUUACAUAUACAUGUAUAGAAAGAAAAAAUAAGCAUUAGGAAAGUUAACGGUUCAUAGUUUUCUUUCUGGGGGUUUGUUCUGUUUCAUUCAGGUUAUGCCUCAUGGGAUUUAUAGAAUUGGGUUUCUUUUUUCUCCUUUAUUUUCUCCCUCUUUUCCCCUUUCUGAAGCCCCAACAGUUUAUUUGUCUUCCACUUUUCUAUUGAUAGAGAAAUAGAAUUAAGAAGGAAACAUAGUUAAGAAAUUCAAGAAAUUAAGAAAAAGUCGGGGUGUGUAUUAUAUAAUAAACAAGAAUUGUUGGAUUUUGAUUUCUGAAGCAUGCAUGCUUUGAAAGGUUAUCUUUUGGGAUUUGAUGAUUUCAUUUCAAGAAAUUGAAAAUUCUAGAGGGCGGUGUUGCAUCAAUUAACAUCGUAUAUCAUAGCAUAGGCAUGCAUAUUACAACUUGAUGGAAAUUGGAAACUAGUAGUAGCUGGGAGAUGGAGAUGGAGAUUGAGAUGGGAGUGUUCCCAGCCUAUAAAAGCAAAGCUGUCGUUGUGGGGAGAAGGGAGAAGAAUCAGAAGACAAUAUGAUUUAGGGUUUUAGGGUUUAAAUUUUAAUAUAAUCAUAUCAUAUCGUACUCUAAUUCAUCCUUGGCUUUUGAAGGAAGCAAAAUAGAAAUGGAUCGUGCAUCAUGCAUGCAGAUGCAGGGUGAUUAUUGGAGCCCAGAAAACAAGUGUGAAUCAGUGAUUGGGUAGAAAUAUUGGUUUAUGAAUGCAUGCAUGCGUUGGCUCUCCUUGUCCAAUGCACAUCACACAUGCAGGUGACAUGCAUGAAACAAUAAUACCAUGUGAGAUUGCGAUAGGAAGUAUGCAUAAUCAUGCAAGUUUAAAGCAUAAAAAUAUGAGACUGACCAUGGACUCAUCUCCGACGUCCUUAUUGGCAAAUAACGGGAAUUAAUCACCUAUUUCACAAAGCUUAUAAGAAAUUUACGCGCGUAAAACAAAACAGAAGUUUAUUCUAUGUUUUGUGAUUGUAAAAUUAGUGAUUAAGAUACCUACCACAACUCUUUUGACAUUUCAAAAGAUAUGGAUAAGAACAACAUCCUACUAUUUUAUUUUAUAUGUGGUGUAGGAAAUUCUUAAUCCUACACCUUUCCAAGUUUCAACCAAUUUAAAGACUAGUUUCUAAUUUUAGUUUCUUCUGAUUCUUCUCCCCAUUUUUUCCUCAUUUCAACUUUUAAUAGACACAUGAUAACCACGUAUCAUCUUUAUCUUUCCCACAUCUCUUUAUUCUGACAAAAGCAAACAAAAAUAAUAGAUAAGAUUAAACAAUGAUGUGUAAGAAAAAAAAUUGAGGCGCAUUUUCUUUUCAUAAUUCCUUUAUAAGCUCCCUCAGGUCUCAUGAGGAGACAUCCAAUGAUUCUAUUUUUAAGGAAGAUUAGAAAAAUAACACAAACUUGAACCAUGUGUGGAAUACGAAUAUUGGAAAAGUUAACCAAAAGUUGAUGCGACAAUAUUACACUACCAGGGGAUAACAUUCUGAUGUGAAAAAAUAAUUUAAUAGUUGGACAUGAGAAUGGCAUUUUGACUGUCAGAAGCAACAUUGCUGUAGUCAAAGUAUUAUUCCCUUGUCCAAAUAUUAGUUUAUUAUUCGAGGGCAAAAGUAUAUCGAUGUGUGGUUUUAUUUUAUACAUGGCAUCGUCUAUAGAAAAGAUUGGUGUACGAAAUAUAAUCUAGUUGAUAUGUUAAAUAAAGCGGUUUGAUCUGUUAAGUUUGAAUCUUUUUUUAACAUAACUCGUAUACUUUGUGCUUGAAUGUGUAAAGGUGAAUCUCGUGGAGAUUAUUGACAAAUGACUCGAUAUUAGAGAGAAGAGGAAUUGCCAUUUUGCAUGAGAUUUUACUUAAUUUUCUCUAAUUCAACCAAUUGUUUGCGGUUUGUUCGUAGAAGAAGGAAAGCCACAUAUUUAGGCAUAAACGAUCGCUUCCGCAAGUUGCUCUUUGUAUGUAAAUUUUGUAAGAAAACUUGGUUAUUUCUCUUUCUACUUUUUGUGACCUCGAUCCGGAUUGAUAACAGAAUAGCUUCUUAAUUUUCAGUCAUUAAAGGCAGGGUAAUAUUUUCACACCAACUUUGGGCUUAGAAUUUUGAGAGGGGCAACUUUUGGCUACUAUUCCAAAUUUUCUUUCAAAAUAUGGAACGAGGCCUUCAAAAAAUAUGACAACUUCCCUUGCUUGCAGUUGCAUGUCUAAAAGCUCAUCUGUUAACGAAAAUAAACGAAAAAUGACCAGAGAAGGAAUUAUUACAAUACAACUCAACUUUUUGGUGUCGUAACAGCUCACAACGCUCAACUUACAAUCAAACGCAUGGAAAUACAAAAAAUUGUAGCUCACUCGGUUCCCACAAUUUUUUCCUAUCAACUACCACGCCCACGUAACAUACCACCAAUGAUGUUGACUGUUACAGCAAAGUACAAUUUGUACAGCGAACUUGCUUGAAUACCGUACACAUUUUUCAUCAUUCCAGAAAAAAACUGAUUUGGUAAGGAAGUCCAUUGUGCUCAAUGUUAAAGAGGUCCGAUAGAGCAACAUAUGGGUCAGUUUCCUGAAGCUAGAUCAUUUCUGAACUGUUCUACCAAGGGAGGAAGGAGAAGCGCAAGCCUAGACUUGUACCUUGCAAUUCGCUGUAAGCGUUCUUCUCUUAAUCUACAAAAUAAACACCAAAUAGCUAGUCAACCUCUGCAGUCUGUUUUAUCUGCAGAAAGUGUAAUGCCAAAGCUUUUUGGAAAACAGAACAUCCCAGGUAUAGUGUAUGACUUAUCUUUACCUAGAGAGUGAUAACCCUGUUAAAAAAAUAUAAGAUAUCAGGUUGUUAGACCCUUGUUUUUGUUUUUUGUUACAACGGAGGGAAUCGAACUCUUGACAUGGCCUAAUCCUAAUCCAUUUUCCCACCCUCCCACACCACUUGAGCUAUCCCUAAAAUGUCUUUCUUCUAUUUCUUUUAUUUUUCAUUUUCUUGGGGCAAUUUAAUAUCUCAAAUUAAAAGGUCCAUUUUUCCUCCAGCUUUGGACUUCCAUUGAUUCAGUUUUAGUGGCAACCGAAAUUCACUUCUCUUUCGAGAUAUUUUUCACAAUCAAAGCUUCAACAGAAAAAUAAAAUGGAUGAGAUAAAUCAACCGCAAAUAUACCCUAACUUAAUCUUGCAAAUGGUAAUUAUAAUUCAUAUAUGAUAUUCCAUUAAACCCAUUAACUUCAACUACGGUAAAUUUAAUGUUUGUAAAUCAGCUUUCAAGGCUUAAAAUGACUAUCUGUGACAAAGGAAAGUCAACUCACUGUGUGUAAGAACCAGAUUGUGAAAAACUUACCGUGCUCGAACCUUUCUGGCGCGUUUGACAUGUCUUUUUAACAGAUCAUGUGGUGAUAAACGCUCAAUGUGUUCCUCAGCCUGGAAGCAAGAACAAUGAAACUAAGUACAUUUUUUAUAAGCACUAUACAUCUAAUCGUUAGGUAUAGGAAUCGACAGAUUCGAAAACAUAGAAGCCUCACUUUUUAAUUUAUGUGCCCUCUAAGCUUAAAACUUACUUGUUUAAAGGUAAAAACUACAAGCAGAAUCAAAAAAAAAAAUUCUGAAAAACCAAAAUGAAAACCUAAAGACUAGCUAGAGGUUGGGGGGGGCAAGUGAAGAACCUAUGAUCCUCCAAUUUGACAAACAAACUCUUGAAGUCAUAUAUCUCAAAUUUUUGUAGCUGGAAUCAAACAAACUCUUGAAGUCAUAUAUCUCAACUUUUUGUUUCCAUUUAUAACAAUUCAAAAUAAUGAUUACUGCUGCCAAAUAUAAUGGUUAUCAUAAAAACCCAACCUCGUCCUUGUUAUCAUCUCCUUUUUCUUCUGCUUCACCGCCCUCCUUCUUUGGAAGAGUAGCACUUGCCAUAGGUAUUGGUGAAGGUUUCGGAAGAGACCUUACAGCAUCACCAUAUUGUGGCUGCCAGCAGAGUAAAAAUUUUCCAAGAUCAUUAGGGCAAAAUCAUUAUAAAUGAAAUAGGUAACAACAGUACUGCAUCAAAAAUCAAAUUAGUAUAUUCCCACAUUAAUGUGCAGUUUGAACUGCUAAGGAAAACAAUACAUCAGUGCAGAAUACAAUUAUUCUAUUACUGAUGACUCCUUUUGUUUGGCCAAAAAAACCUAGAAAAUUCAGGUAUGCAUAUGGGCUUUCAGUUUCCUAUCUUGUUUGGUCUAAUUAUUAACAAUAAUAAUGUCAACAAGUUGUAUCUAAAUUUUUCCCCAGGGCACAAUAGCUGGCGACAUUAUAGCCCAUGAUCUUUUUCUAUUGUAAGAGGACCAUUUUCAUGGUACUGAUGUGAGACUACUAGUAUUAUAGUAGGUCAAUUUAUCCUAAUGAAUGUGUUAAGACAUUAAUUGUCUAGAUGAACUAGCUGGUAAAGGUAGUAACAAGAUGUGGUAUCAUAUAUCCACUGUUUCGUCUGACCAGAUAAUUCACUCAGGAGGCAUUAGCACAGAGUUAGACUGGACUCAUUCCAACCCGAUAUUCCAGGGGAUGGGUGUCAGCACUCUUGAAUUAUUAACAAAUGUUACAUGAAGGCACUUGUGGAUCUAGGCUUUUCAAACAACAACUUGAGUACAAAUUAGGCUUGUAAAAAGAUCGAGUACUAGAUUCUUAUAGGAUAAAAGCAAAGUAUCAAAUACUACACAAAACAAGAUCUCAACCUAUGAUAUGACGCCAACCUGAAUUUCUUCAGGAAAACCGUUCCUCAUCCAUGACCGACAGUGCACAUAUAGAGAAGCUCCAUCUGUCAUCCUGACCUGCAUAAAAAUAAUUCCAAAUAAUUAACACCAAAAAAAAGUAUGUGAACUAAAGACAAGUUAUAAUUUGCAUCCUGGUUAUCCUACAUACAUCCAGAAGGGUUUGAUGAAGGAUCGAUUCAUUCAUCUCAGAAAAGAUAAAAUCCAGGUUGUACUUGUGGUUUUUUUUUUUGUUUUUUUAAUCUCUCUACCGUUUCUGCUGCCAUUAGCAUUACUUUGAUAUAUAGUUAACCUUAAAACUACUUACUGAAACUACAUUGGAUUAACUGCAACAUAAGUACUAUAUGUAUUUGAAAAUUUAGCUAUAUGGUUGAUGGCAAUCAACACGGUUGGACUUCAUUGUAGGGUGUCCAUGGGAGGAAGUAAAUAUCAAAAAGAUGGGUUGCAGUUUCUAACUAAGUUUUGUGUCCUUCAACAGACAUCCAUCCGAGUCGACUGUGCCCAACAACAAGAGCACAUUAUUACAUUUUCACAAAUGGAACAUUCAUGUGUCUAAAAGGUUAUCCUUUGUCUAGACAUAAAGUAUGUAGAGAUGUGCACAAUGCACACGCAUGCAGAGGCACACAUGAUAUGGGUUUGUAGAAUGGCGCUCUCAACCCUUAGAUGAAUCUUAAAUAGAUGCCUGCACAUUAUUGUGCUCAUUCUACACUGCCAUCCUAUUUUGUAGAUAUGAAUAUCAAGAAAUACUCCAGGUAUGCUACCAUCAGAAAGGAUGAUUAAACAACUUCCCUGAUGUGAAGGAAAGGGAGGAAGGAAUUUAACUGAUGGAAAAGAAAGAAAGAAAAUAUAUCAGACAGAUCCACUCUAUCAAUCAUUCAUAUAAACUUAAACGAAAGAGUAACAUCGAAUGACAUUUUUCCCUCAAAAGUCAAAGAAAACAGGCAAAGCAAGCAAAAUAUCCACACAAUCACUAAAUACCGUAAGGUUAAUCAUCAACUCAUAACAAUCCCUCCUAUAAAGGGGGGGAAAUGAUCUUUAGAACAACUAAAGUCAUCUCUCAUUACAAAUAAUUCAUGAUAUGUGUUUUAUAUGGGUGAUGUAUGUGACACACCAAGCACAGCUGCUGAUUCACAACCACAAUGCCCUUUACCUAAAAAACUGAGACUAGAAACUGAAAGACAUAGAAACAAAGAAGUCAUAAUAAUAGAGGGCUGAAUAACAAAGUAAAUGACAGUACAGACUGUUUCUGACAUUCUAUCAUAUUCAAUUGCACCAUAAACUUGAAGAACAAAGCCUUCAACCAACUACUAAAAAUAUAUUGAAAAGCAUAUAUUCAAUAUAGAAUGAGGUAGCCAUUUCUGCCACUAAUUAUGUUCCAUUUUUAGCUAUCAGUUCCUCUUACUUGAAUGAACCUAUGAAAUGAUCAAGGGACCUAAAAUAGAAGUGAAAUUAAGUGCUGUAAAUGGAUGUUAUAAACCAUGCAGCAUAUCCAAAUAAAUUAGACAAUGAUUUAAGUACACGACCCCCACACCAAGGGAUCUUUGACAUCGACUAGAGCAAAUUAAUAGAUUUAACGAAAGUCUUAAUAGCAAGAUAUUAUAAUGCAUCUAUAGAUGCAGAGCCAAUCAGAAAGCAAAGUGUUUUCUUACUUUUCGACCUCUAAUGACAGCUAAGUUAUCAUCUUUGCUUUUAUCCCUGCAGAAAGCACAUCAAGAACAAGUUACAUCAGUCCAAAAUUUGAAAAACAAAUAGUCUUAUUGCAAAAAAUAUUAAAAGAAACAAAUGUUGAGACAUUAUAUCCAACAUUACCUCAUGUCUUUAAAACCAUUGCUGUCAGGAACUGAAGAUGGAGCAACCUAAACCAGGAAGAAGACAUACUGAAUAAAUCUCCAAAUCUUGCAUUCAGACUCAACAGGCAAAACUUUUUAUGAAAACAAAAUAAGAAUAAAGCCACAGAAAAUAAUAAUAAGAAUUGCAAAAAAAAAAAAAAAAAAAACCUGUAUUCGGUUUGGCAUAGAAUGUUCAAUGGCCAAAAAGUUACUACGUUUCGAUUGGCAUAAUAUUCAUGUCAAAACUAAAUCCAUUAUCUAGUUUACCCAUUCUGGCUGGCCAGUUUACUCAAAACUCAUAUUGCCUACCAAAUACUAAAGAUAUUAACUGCAUUAAUUUCUUAUGUCAUCGACAAUAUUGAACCUAGUAUUAUUCAGAAGAGAAUGAAACAUAAGCAAGAUGAAUGCCUAACUUGACCUGUUCAAGAUGUAGAACAUUCUUUUAAGACAAGACUCAUAUAAGCCUGCUCACUGAGGAGUUUUUUUUAUUGACCUUGGGCAAGCAUUUGCAAAAGCAAAUAUAAAGUCUACAUUACCACCAACACUUCUUUAUUCUGAUUACAAGUCGGAAACACCGCCAAUCCAUGUACAAUACAUACUUCAAAGUGCUAAAAAUCAAAGCUUCUGAUAAAGCAUAUUUUCCCUUAUGGACUGAUAGAUACAUAGGCAGAAAAAGAAGAACUUUCUACCCAUCUUUUUGCUUAUUCUAAAUAACCUUUCUUAUUUUCCGUAAUAAAUUCACCCCAAUACAAGUUUUCAAGAUGUUACGCAAAGAAAAAAAAGGCUUCUUUGAGUCAAAGAAUACUACCAAACAGUAAAACUUUACUAUGUGUUUGUGUGUAGUUCGCCCUACGAAUAAAUACCUAUGUAAAAAAUGUAGAAUCAAAAGCACACCAUCGAAAGAUCAAUUAAACCAACGAAAAAGAGGAGAAAAGUCGAGACCUCAGGAGCAGCAGAAGAAAGGGGAAGGCCCCUAAUAGGAGGAGGAAGAGGAGAAGGUGCUAAGCUGUAGUUGGGUCUCAUCAAAUGCACAGAAAUAGGCUGCUGCGGAGGGAAAUUGAGAUGGGGCCGAGAUGGGUACGAAGUUCCUGCGUUGGCCACAGUGACAGGGGGUUCGCCUCCUGCAGCGGCGGCGGGGCGAAUGGGCCGGGUAAUGAAGCCUCGGCCUGAGGAAGCGAGUGGGUACAGAACCCCCUGAUGAUUAGCAGCUGCUGAUGCUAAUGGUGAUGAUGAUGGCGAUUGGGUCCGAAUUUGGAGGGAUUGGGCUGCGUAAAGAUUAGGAGGAAGAGGAGAUGAUACGGCGGGUCUUACGGGCCUCGUCGUGGGUGUGUUGGGGGCGGCGGCUCCGGCGGUGGCCGUGGCGGCUGAAGCAGUGGUGUGGUUGGGAUCCAUGGCCAUGGUGGUGUCUGCGGGCAGUGGCGGGGAAAUUUGGGAAUUUUGGUACGCUUUGGUUUUUAAUUUUUGAAUGUUAAAGAAAGAUCCCCACUGCUUUAUACACACAAUUUGUAUAUAAUAACUAUUCACACUUCUCAAACAUCCUUUUAUCUUAAUCUUUAAGUAAAUACAAUUUUCUUUUGAUUUUCUCUCUAUUUUUAGUAGGGUUUCCAUGUUCUUUACGAUGUUUUGACAAUUGAUAGCAUUAGUUUGUCUAAAUAGUUAGUUGUUAAGGGGAAAAAUCAAUAGAGAUCAAACCACAUUAUAGUACAACAACAACAACAACAAAGCCUUUUCCCACUAAGUGGGGUCGGCUAUAUGAAUCCUAGAACGCCAUUGCGCUCGGUUUUGUGUCAUGUCCUCCGUUAGAUCCAAAAUCAAGUCUUUUCUUAGGGUCUCUUCCAAAGUUUUCCUAGGUCUUCCUCUACCCCUUCGGCCCUGAACCUCUGUCCCGUAGUCACAUUUUCGAACCGGAGCGUCAGUAGGCCUUCUUUGCACAUGUCCAAACCACCGGGACCGAUUUUCUCUCAUAUUUCCUUCAAUUUUGGCUACUCCUACUUUACCUCGGAUAUCCUCAUUCCCAAUCUUAUCCUUUCUCGUGUGCCCAUACAUCCCACGAAGCAUCCUCAUCUCCGCUACACCCAUUUUGUGUACGUGUUGAUGCUUCACCGCCCAACAUUCUGUGCCAUACAACAUCGCUGGCCUUAUUGUCGUCUUAUAAAAUUUUCCCUUGAGCUUCAGUGGCCUACGACGGUCACACAACACGCCGGAUGCACUCUUACACUUCAUCCAUCCAGCUUGUAUUCUAUGGUUGAGAUCUCCAUCUAAUUCUCCGUUCUCUUGCAAGAUAGAUCCUAGGUAGCGAAAACGGUCACUUUUUGUGAUCUUCGCUAGAUUGCUCCGGUCAUUAGUGUGGAUAAGUAUAUAAAUGGAUAGAGAUAGGAAAGCAAACACAAGAUGUACGUGGUUCACCCAUAUUGGCUACGUCCACGGAAUAGAGAAGUUCUCAUUAAUUGUGAAGGGUUUACACAAGUACAUAGGUUCAAGCUCUCCUUUAGUGAGUACAAGUGAAUGAUUUAGUACAAAUGACAUUAGGAAAUAUUGUGGGAGAAUGAUCUCGUAACCACGAAACUUCUAAGUACUGGAGUGUGGUAUCGUCUUGACUUUCCUUAUCUGCCUCAUAGGUAGAUGUGGCAUCUUCUCUGGAAGUACUCUUCCUCCAUCCAGGGGUGGUAUCUAUAACUGGUGGAGAUGCACAAGGUAAUGUAUCAAUGUCACUUGAAGCUUACUUGUAAUUUCAGGCUUGGUCAAGCGCGAUACAAACCAUGUAGUAGGAGUCCCCCAAGUCGCCGAGCUAGGGGAUCUGCUGAAAGAGGUGACAGACAAGGUAAGCAAUCAGAGCUCCGGCUGAUUGUUCACAUUCUCCCUAUCUUGCAGGCAGCAUGAAGGAUAAAGAGAAGAAAAAUGAGAAGAGAUGAUAUGGGAUACUUUUGCUUUUGAAAAAGUAACUUUCCACAGGCCUAUUCUUGAACUGGGCUAGAGGGUUUUCUGGUUUCCUCCAGAGAUAAGGCCGACUGAAGAAUUUGAGGGUCAAAACAAGUCCAUCAAAUCUAGAGUACGUUCGCCCCUGCUGAUAUGGGAUACUUUUGCUUUUGACAGAGUAAUGGAUGUAUCGGCACGUGUGCUGUUACGCUUGUCUCCACAUGCUUCCUUGUAUCCUUCUCACUUGCCCUAUCUGUUCCUCAGGCAGAUGCGGGAUCUUCCCUGGAAGUAUAAGGUGUUGAAGAUGAGUACUCGAGAGCAAUGCCAGGUAAGUAAUCAGGUAAGGGGUUCCAGGCAGUCAGUUCCUGGCUGGAAGCUUGAUUCCAAGUGCUGACUGAUUGCUCUCUUUCUCCUUGUCUUGCAGGUAAGAACAAGGCCAAAGGAAAAGACAGGGAAAAAGCAUGAUAUGGGAUACUCUUGCUUUUAACCCUGAUGAUAUGAGAUAUUCUUGCUCUAGUAUAGCUUGUUUACAGAGGUAUUAUCAGGGGGAAAGAAAGCUGAAUAUUUCGAAAGGCUUCGUUGGGAGUGCCCUCUCAGAUAAGAGGAAUGGUUGAGCAUUUUUGCAGGUCUGCCUGUCCGUUGGGGAUGGAGGUCGACAUAUAUAGGAGUCUCCCUAACAUCAAGUAAUAAUGCUAUUCCUUUACCUUGCUUGGUCAUAGCACGGUAGUGGGAGCUGCCAGCUUCACAAGUUUUAACAUCAAGUAAUAAUGCUAUUCUUUGAAUUUUCUUUUGUUGAAGCUUGUAUGUUGAAGCUUUGUGAGUGGAGCAUGUAGGUUGAGGUAGUGUUCCCUUAAUUUCCCGAGUAAGGAAAACUUCUCGGUUGGAGACUUGGAAAAUCCAAGUCACUGAGUGGGAUCGGCUAUAUGAAUCUUAGAACGCCAUUGUGUUAUGUCCUGUGUCAUGUCCUCCGUUAGAUCCAAGUACUCUAAGUCUUUUCUUAGGGUAUCUUCCAAAGUUUUCCUAGGUCUUCCUCUACCCCUUCGGCCCUGAACCUCUAUCCCAUAGUCGCAUCUUCUAAUCGGAGCGUCAGUAGGCCUUCUUUGCACAUGUCCAAACCACCGUAACCGAUUUUCUCUCAUCUUUCCUUCAAUUUCGGCUACUCCUACUUGACCCCGGAUAUCCUCAUUCCUAAUCUUAUCCUUUCUCGUGUGCCCACACAUCCAACGAAGCAUCCUCAUCUCCGCUACACCCAUUUUGUGUACGUGUUGAUGCUUCACCGCCCAACAUUCUGUGCCAUACAGCAUCGCCGGCCUUAUUGCCGUCCUAUAAAAUUUUCCCUUGAGCUUCAGUGGCAUACGGCAGUCACACAACACGCCGGAUGCACUCUUCCACUUCAUCCAUCCAGCUUGUAUUCUAUGGUUGAGAUCUCCAUCUAAUUCUCCGUUCUUUUGCAAGAUAGAUCCUAGGUAACGAAAACGGUCGCUCUUUGGUAUUUCUUGAUCUCCGAUCCUCACCCCUAACUCGUUUUGGCCUCCAUUUGCACUGAACUUGCACUCCAUAUAUUCUGUCUUUGAUCGGCUUAGGCAAAGACCUUUAGAUUCCAACACUUCCCUCCAAAGGUUAAGCUUUGCAUUUACCCCUUCCUGAGUUUCAUCUAUCAACACUAUAUCGUCUGCGAAAAGCAUACACCAAGGAAUAUCAUCUUGAAUAUGUCCUGUUAACUCAUCCAUUACCAACGCAAAAAGGUAAGGACUUAAGGAUGAGCCUUGAUGUAAUCCUACAGUUAUGGGGAAGCUUUCGGUUUGUCCUUCAUGAGUUCUUACGGCAGUCUUUGCUCCUUCAUACAUAUCCUGUAUAGCUUGGAUAUAUGCUACUCGUACUCCUUUAUUCUCUAAAAUCCUCCAAAGAAUGUCUCUUGGGACCCUAUCAUACGCUUUUUCCAAAUCUAUAAAGACCAUGUGUAAAUCCUUUUUCCCAUCUCUAUAUCUUUCCAUCAAUCUUCGUAAGAGAUAGAUUGCCUCCAUGGUUGAGCGCCCUGGCAUGAACCCGAAUUGGUUGUCCGAAACCCGUGUCUCUUAUAGUACAUAAGCAAAAAAAAUUUUUCCACUGCGGUAAAACUUUAUUUGCUUUUUUAUAAUGUUUUGGGGGACAACCAAAUCUUAAACGCAAUUAAACACCUGAUUAACCAAAAAUUUGAUGUUCAAUCUUAUUUUUUAUUUGUUGUCCUUCCUACUUAGGAAGAUGCUCUUCGGUCAGCUCGCUCGCUCCAUACGAGUUGUCCAAGCAAGACUCAUUGUUAGGUAAAGAGGGUGUGAAGUUUUUUUUUGUGUAAGUUGUAGGAAUGAGGUAGUCCAUAUGGCCAGCCCUGGAAUUUCUCUUAUUUAGAACCAUAAAUUUCAUUUUAAAACCUUCACUUGUGUUCUUUGUAUCAUAUUCAAGAUCAUCUUUUAUUUUUACAAGCGAUAUUGAUGAAUGAGAGCAUUUCGCCACAUCCACAUUUUUUAAUUUUGAUGCCAUCGUUGGCUUGGCUAUAAUAAAUAUUUUUUAUUGAAGUAGGGUUUAGGGGUGUAACGGUGCCAAGUUCGUUUAAAAUCUUGCUCCUUUCUCUCCACAUUAAUGAAUAAUGCAUGUAUCAAAUACAAAAUAGUUUGUUUUAAAUCUAGAACUUGAGAGCAUUGGGCCACACAGUUAAAGCAUAGGCGGGGUAUGAGUUUGAAAGCCCAAGUCAGCCGACUCCCAAACUAGCAACUUUCAAGUCCACACCCACCCCACUCACUACCAAAAUAUAUAAAAAUAAAAAAAGAGAGAUCAAAGUUUCAGGCCUUCUCACUGAGUUGCUUAAGUUUCGAGUCUUGGUCGUCAUCGUCGUCAGACUCCAACUUUGUCCGUCAGCAACCCUCUCCGUCUCUGAGUCUCUCUGUGUGUGUUUGUGUGAAAUCAUGAUCUUUGUUGAUGGGCUUCCCUUUUCUACAGACUCUUCUGCAUCGCCUCAGGUACUCCCUCCCCCCUCUCUCUCUCUCUCUAUAGAUAUAUUGGUAUAUAUGUGUUUGGUUUAUGAGAAAAAAUGUGGUGGGAAAGAGUAAAGUAGAAACUAUAAAGUUGCCCAACUGUUUGCCUUCCUUGAGGCGAUACUAAUGGAAAUAUUUAAAUUUGUGAAAAGUAGAUAUUUCAAAUUUGUAUCCAGCAUUUCAUCUGCAAUUAUAAUUUAUAAUGCCUAAAUUUGAUGCUUAUUGGAUGGUUACGGUAUGGGUUGUAGUUACCACCUUACCUAGCUGAUGCGGUUCUAGUUACCACCUUACCCAGCUGAUGCGGUUUGUAGUUACCACCCUACCUAGUUGUCUUCGAUCAUGGUUGUUAAUCAAUCAUAGCCGUUGUAAGUUAUGGUUGGUUCUGUAACUAUGCGGAGUUGUUGACUCUCCUGCUUUCCUUCAUGUAUAUAUACAUGUAUCUUUGUAAUUGUAAAUCACAAAAUCAAUAUACAAUCUUUUUAUCAAAUUCCACAAUGCUCUAAGUUUCUGAUGCCAUUACUUAUGAAACAAAUUUUUAAAUUAAAAAUUCUAGUUUGUUUGUUGCAACACCUUAAUCUGCAAGAUGAGUACUAACGAAGUUUAUGUUUAUUAGAUUUACAUACAUUAUUUAUACAUAUAAUAAUAAAGUAUACCGAAACUUCAAAUAACUACAUUUUUUGAGAAACAGAAUCUGGAAUUGUCUUCUGACGGAUAAUUUGCUUGCUCAAAUUCCUCUACUUUACAUUUUCCAUAAAAUAUUUCUGCACUCCUUGCAAUACAUUUAUAAUAGAACUUCAAGCUUGUGCUCGUGAACAGGGACGGGAUACUCUGGUUGCUCUACUGGAACACCCUGCUUUGGUAGAAGCCUCAAAUUCGUUCAAAGCUAUCCCGGAGAGGAGAUUCUCUGUACGUGAAGAGUCAGUUCUGGACACAUCGCCACGUAGUAAAUGGGUUUAUUUGUUCCAGAGAGAAUAUGCAACUGUUGAUCCGGCAUUGGUGGAUGUAUGUCUUUCACUAUUCCUUUAGGCAAACACUCGUCAACAUGUGGCAUGAACUUUUUCUUGCACAUAUACAGCGGAGAGACAUCAGUUUAACCUUUCUUUACUUAGUUCACUUAUUAGUAUAUGAUGCCAGUACAACCAUUGAACCAUUCUUCUAGUGUUAACAUGCUAUAUUUCAAAGGCCUAUUGAACUCAAAGAAAAGGGUUAGCAUCUUGUCCAUAUGAACUUUGUAGUAACUACUGUUAGUGGAAACAUGGUGGCCAAGAACCUUAUGCAUGUUGAAGGCCUUCAUUUGAGGAAAGUGGCAUUUGAUAGUCCUGCAUGCUGAAAGCUGUCCUGCUACUCUUUUCAGCUUUAAUUCAGGCAUCCUUGUGUUGCAAUGUGCAACAUAACAUAGAGACUGCAUGGUGAACUAAAAUAAAAAGUACAUGGGUUGAUGGCUACGAGUAUAGCCUUCCUUAUUAUCUUGUGCAAAAUGGAAGUCAUCUCAUGAUUUAUUCAUGGCAUCUUUAUAGUUCUUAAAGUUAUCAUAUUUUCUGCCUUAAAGAGAUGGAUGAAAGCUAGUGUCAUUGUAAUUGUUGAUGGUUUUUCUGAAAUGGUUGCUAGCUAUUAACUGAUCACUUUCAUUGCAAUUGUAGUUUUAGUAGCAAGAGUACUACUAAUUAUUCCUUUGCUAACUUCAAUUUUUUCUUCUUGGUCUUCCUCGUUAAAAGUUUGUUGGAACUGAUGAAGCAACAACCUGUAUCGGUGUGGCCAUCUGGAAUCCGAGAAAUGGAAUGUAAGAAACGGAUUUAUUGGGGAUAUAAUUGUUUAGAUCAUACCAGUUUUCAAAUAGUAAUUUCAUAUUUGGUUCUACUUUUUCAACAAGAAAUGCCAUAGAGGCCAAAACAAACACCAAAAUUUGGACUCCAAUUGAAGUGGUAAAUAUGACUGGUUCUAGAUCUCUUAUCAUUGUAACAAGUAAGACAUUGUCAUGUCAUCUACCAUUCCAUUUGGCGAUUAAAGUUAGGAAACUUUUGGUGCUCUAGUACUGUUGUUUCUCAUUCUGUUUUCAAACUGUAGGACCUCAGUUGCUCAUAUGGAUUCUCCAAACAUUGUGGACACGGGUUUAUCCCAAAUGUUGUCACUUCUUGUUGACCAUAACACGGAUAUGGAGUUAGAUGUACUAUUCCUAACCAAAAUGAUUUUGUGACUUAAAUGGUUAUAUGCUUUUUAUUGACUCAUAGAAUCUAGCAUAAAUAAAGGAAUAUUUCAUGUUCACAAAAUGCAGGUGCAUCUAGUUGGUGGAUUUGAAGAUGUUUCAACUAAUGUUUGCUCCAGGAUCCUCUACUUUGUUAUUGAUUUUCCAGAGGUGUAGUUAUCUACUCAGAAACAGGAUACUUCAAGCUGAAAAAUAUUGAACUUUGUGUGCAGCAUGGUAACUACAACACUGGAUCAGAAAGUCAGGAAAACUUGGAUGGUUAUUCCUUCCCUUUAGGUGCCAAAAUUGUUGAAACUUUAUGGAAGAGACCGGAGAAAUUCCAUAUACGUACUCUAUGCAUUCUUGGGCAUAACACUAGAAGGGAUCCCGAGGGAAAUGCGUACCCAAACUUCAACGGUUUCAUGGUUAGCUUCAACUCCGUGAAUUAAAUAUCAAUUUGUUGUAUGGCUUAUGUUCAUUUAAGUCAGUUUAAAAUGAGAUAAACCUUCCCAUUUUUUGUGUGCUCACCUGUGAAGUUUAUAAUGUUGUGUAAUGUGUGUGAGUGAAACUUCUGUUAAAUCCUUCACAUUGUAGAUAUUUUUCACUAUUUCAGAUAGGAACUUCCACCGGAUCUAUUACCCCAGCUAUCUUUGACAAAACCUCAAGAUGCCCUGAUGAAGUUGUCAGGAGAAUUCGAGUUUCUGUAUCAUAUGAGGACUCUAGUUGGAAAGGAAAGUUACUAGAAACAUAUGAUACUCAAACUGAUCAUUUCAAGAUAGCUCCAUGUUGCUGGUAAGAGUUACUUCAUCGAUUAUGCCUUCAACUUUUAAUUACUCUGCAACAUAUCUUUGCUUCUCUUAAAGUCGUGCUCAACUUUGCCAGCAACAUUGACCUCACAUAUAUCGUUUCUAUUCAUGCAGGACACUGCAGCAGUUACAUUUUGCUUUGUCAUUACAACACUACUCUGAUUCAGAAAUCCUCCUCAUGUGUUCUACUUCACCCUCAGCUGAGAACCCAGAUUUUGUGGAGAAUAUGAGAAGGUAUGCACAAUCGAAAGUAGACCCGUCUUAAAGUUCUCAGUGAUCACACACAUGCAGAAAAAGAAUUUGAAUAUAAAGAAAGAAAAGAGGAUAUUUUCCCAUGAUAAAAGAAGAGAGAAUAAAAGAUUGACAGGAACUGCACAGCAAGUUGAUCACAAGUAGAUGCAUUGAAGUUUUUCUUGUUUCUGGCCCGUGUAAUCAUAAUCUAUCGGUCAAGACUCGUAUACAUUGCAAUUCCUAGAAAUAGGAUGAUGUUCAUCCCAUAGAAUAAUGUUAAUUUCCGGAUAUUGCUUUAACUAAAUUUGGUAAUCUUGAUUCAGGCAAUGGGACUACCUAAUUAAACACCCAGAUUGGAGAGAAACCUUUCCCAUGAAGCAGCCACGCAUAUUUGAGAGGACUGCUGAAGGUGGCUGGAGAAAGCCACAAGGUGCUGAUACAUCAAUCAGUAGGAGGUUCUAGUUAUUUUGCAAUCUUACCCAUGUCUCUAAAUUAUAAGUCCCGCAAUUAUUAGCAAACCAACUAAAUCAAUUUAGAUGAUCAUGCAACAAAUUUGAACUAUCAUGUUCUCGGCCUUUAAAAGAAGGAUGUAAGUUGGUAACUCAUCGCAAUCUUAGCUGUUUUUGUCAGCGAUUGCUUGUUGUUAACUGAGUACUUAUGUUGCAAUUUAAGGGUCUGUUUGAUAACUAUUUAGUUUUUAGUUUUUAAUUUUACUUUUUGCGCUUGAGAUAUGAGGAAAAGUAAGAAAGGUGGUGGAAGGAAGGGGAAGAAAUAAAGAAGAGUGAAUGAAAACAAAAUAUUGGAAGUGAAAACAACUUAAAUACUUACCAUUUGAUGACAAUUUUGUUCAGUAUUAAUUUUUUCAGAUUUUUGCUUGAGAUAUAGGAAGUGUGUGUCUAUAUAUAUAUAUAUAUGAGAAAAGUGAUGGAUGAAGAACGGUGAUGGGAGGGAGAGGAAGAAACAGAGAAGAAUGAAUUAAAACAAUAUCUUGUUUUCAAUGAAAUGCUUUGUGUCGGUUAUUUCCCAUGAAAUGCUUGUUGGGACUGAAGAAGCAACAACCUUAGGAAUGUUGGUGUUGCCAUAUGGAAAAUGGAAUGUGAAGACGUGCUUUUAUUGGGGACUUACAUUAACAUCUUAAAAAAGUUUUUAAAGGGUUGACAUGCGCAACAAACUAAAAUACUAUUGAAAAUACAUGCGUAUGUGUGUAUAGUACACGUUUACGCGCAUGCAUAUCAUCGGCAAAUUUAUUAGCAAAAGUACAAAACUAUAACGGGGCUGUUUGCACCUAAAAUAUACCAAUUUUUACUCAUUUAGGUCAUUCGGGCUAAAUAUGGUAUUUCAAAGAUUAUUGUGCAAGAAAGUUAACUUUGAAAGAUAUUUAGCUGCAAGUGGGGUAGUUUGACAUUAUAAUAUUGUUUUUCCCUUUUAUUUGGGUGGUGGAGGUUUGCCAAUAUAUUUGUUUAAUCAAGACAAAUGCAUACUUUUUCAUUGCAAGUGGAUGGAAAGACACACACAAACAUUCCUGCAAAGGACUGUGGACAUGUGAAAGAAGCCAACUUGCUUCUAUUAAUUAUUAGUUUAUUGCAAGUGAUGGAGACAUGUGGUGAAAACAUGUGGUGGAAGUACAAGUUGCCCUUUUUAAUAUCAUUUCACAUGCAAGCUGGCAGUGAAGUUUCUUUCGGGCAAGUGCAAUGUUCUCAGCAAUGGACUUUCUCAGAUCUCUAUAUAAAGAAGUAGAGGCACAAGGAUUAUGGACACUCAAACAAACAAUCAAUCAACUCUACUCAAAUCAGCUCAUCAGCUUCCAUGUAGACAUUUAGCUUUAGCCAAGCAUCCAUUGCUUCCCUUGUUUAUUAGCUCUGUUACUCACUAGUAGUAUUGAUCUCCUUUGUAGUUCAUGUACAACUCAUUUUCAGUUGUUUAAAUUACAAGCAAUCUACAAUACCAGUCAUUUACUUUCCUCUGUCAGUUGCACUUCUAGCAACCUUGUCAUUUACAUAUUGUUUCAUCUCUUCAUAUAAGUAAAGUCCUUAUCUUUAAGGUAAAGAAAGAACCUUGAUUUGAGUCACUUCCACUUAAUGACACAAUCUCUUGGUUGGAAGUUGAAUUCAGACGCAUCCUUAAUCAUUCAGAUCCCGUCUACUAAUGACAUCUAGUAGUGGCACGUCCGCACCCACCAACAUGUUUGAGUAAAUUUCCGGCAUGCCCGCAAGGCCCAUGAUGAAUUUAGGGAGCAAACAGUGGCAAUAGAGAGGCACAAAGCAAAGAAAAAGAGAGGCGGCAAUAGUGACCUUUGAAAGCCCUAAAAAGCCACCUACUUGGACUCGUCGUGCUUUUAAGAGCCACCAGCCGAAUUCCAAAUCCAACUCCAACACAAACACUCGUUCAAUACUUACAAAUAACGAGAAGAACUCAAACUCGCAGCAAAACAAAAACACUUGUUCUCUUUCUCUCUUUGGUUGUUGGAGUUUUGUCUCUCUGAAAUUCUGAAUCCUUGCCAUUUCUUCUCUUCUUAUGGCUCUUGUGAGUCGGAUUCAGUCUCUCUCUGCCUUCUCUUCUUCCUCCACCCAUUUCAGAAAACCCCACUCCUCCUCCUCCUCCUUCAAUCCCAUUUCUUCAUUACGCUUCAACUUCACUUCCUCCAAUUCCUCCUCCUCCUCCUCCUCCUCACCUUUUACAGAGAAGGCUUCUAUCGAGAGAUACCAGCGAGACCACUGGCUCUACAAAAACCAACAUUCAGAAUCCGACCAACCAGUACCCACUACCUGCUGCUCUCUCCCGCCCGAUUUUGAUUCCUUGAGGGAAAACGACAUCGCUUUGCAGCUACCCGAGCUCAGGAACCUGCUUCAGGUGCUCAGAGAAAAGAGGCAGACUGAAGGUGAUCGAGGUGGCUGCGGGCCCGGGAAUGUCUUCUUGGUGGGGACGGGGCCUGGGGACCCCGAGCUCCUGACAAUGAAGGCUUACAGAGUUAUUCAGACUGCUGAUUUGUUGCUCUAUGAUAGGUUGGUGUCCAAUGAUGUCUUAGAUUUGGUUGGCUCUGGUGCUAGACUCCUCUAUGUGGGCAAGACUGCUGGGUACCAUAGCAGAACCCAGGUAAUCAAGCACUCAUCUUUCUUAAUUUCCAUUUCCGAAACCAAAAUCCAAUUUUGUUUUGUUUUGUUUUGUUUUGAGUUUAAAUUGGGUUUCGAAUAUAUGGGUUCUGUGUCACAAUAAAUUUGAAAGCUUUGUGCAAUUUGGUGAAUUGGGUAUUUGCGUUUGUGUUUGUUUGCAUCUGGGUUUGUGGGAUUCAAAGUUUUGGUGAAGUCAAUUACGAAAACUUUACUUGAUCUGAUGCUACAUAAAAUUUGGUCUUUUCAAUUGGGAUUUCAGGAAAUGAACUGAAUUUGUUUUCCCCUCUUUCAGGAGGAGAUACAUGAAUUGUUACUGAGUUUUGCCGAAGCUGGAGCUAAUGUUGUGAGGCUAAAAGGAGGGGAUCCGCUGGUGAGUUUUUAUAUUGGUCUUUCAUAAAAUUGUUUCUGUUUUUCCCUGUGAUAUCAUGUUCCGUCUUGUAAAACAUAUCGAUUUUCUUUAGGUGUUUGGAAGGGGUGGAGAGGAGAUGGAUUUUCUGCGGCAACAAGGAAUUGAAGUUAACGUUAUUCCAGGUACAAUCACAAAUCAAUGUGGUAGCGCCGUUAUUUAGUUGACAUUUUUAUAAGAAUGGUGGAAUGUCUCAUGGACAUAAGAUGUCUACAUUGUUUCCCCAUUGCUUUUUGAAGAGAGAAUGUUCAACAUUGCCAUCUCAACACAUUGAUAAAGUUUCAGUAAUCUAAUUUCAGAGAAUUUAAGAUGGUCCGCAGUCACAAAGAUAUGCUAAAGCUGAACAUUAUUAGCUAUGCUAUCCCUGUAGAAAUGUUCUAUUUUGUCAGUUAGUCCUUAAAAUUAUGACACUUCAUCGGCAUUUAAAAUUUUUCCUCGUUGGAAAUCAUAGGUGAGAAGUCUUCCGUAUGCAAAAGGGUGACUGAAAAUUGAGAUUAGUACACUUUGCUUCUUAAUUCCUGAAUUUUUUUUAACACAUAGGCCAUUAAGUAUAAAGUUUUGGCUGGGAGCACUUGUAACUUGUAAGAUGGAAUGAAUGGUUAAGAGGAAAGUAAAAUGCCAAGUUAACACAUUGAAAGAUGGGGGGGAAUUUUAGGUGAGUCUUCAUCCAUAUGAAUAUGUUAUAUAUUAGGAGUCUAGGAACAACUUUUUUCCUAUCUAGGUUGUGGCCUAAAGAACUCAUAGUUUGUGUCUGUUGGAAACAAAUUUUCUCUUCCCUUAUCCAAAUUGUGCAUCCAUUGUUUUCUUUGACAUGAUUAUUC